CGGCGGUGGCGGCGUGUCCUCCAUCAUCUCCCGCGCCCUCUUCGACCGCAUGCUACUGCACCGCAACGACGGCGCCUGCCAGGCCAAGGGCUUCUACACCUACGACGCCUUCGUCGCGGCCGCCGGCACCUUCCGGGGCUUCAGCACCACGGGCAGCACGGACACCCGGAAGCGCGAGGUGGCCGCCUUCCUGGCCCAGACCUCCCACGAGACCACCGGUGGGUGGGCGACGGCGCCGGACGGAGCCUUCGCGUGGGGCUACUGCUUCAAGCAGGAGCGUGGCGCCACCUCCAACUAUUGCACUCCGAGCGCGCAAUGGCCGUGCGCCCCAGGGAAGAGCUACUACGGCCGUGGGCCGAUCCAGCUCUCCCACAACUACAACUACGGGCCGGCAGGCCGGGCCAUUGGGGUCGAUCUGCUGCGCAACCCAGACCUGGUUGCCACGGACCCGACGGUGUCUUUUAAGACAGCGAUGUGGUUUUGGAUGACGGCACAGGCGCCAAAGCCGUCGAGCCAUGCUGUGAUCACGGGCCAAUGGAGCCCAUCAGGGACGGACCGGGCUGCAGGGCGGGUGCCCGGGUUUGGCGUGAUCACCAACAUAGUUAACGGCGGGAUCGAGUGCGGGCAUGGGCAGGACAGCCGAGUCGCCGAUCGGAUAGGAUUUUACAAGCGCUACUGUGACAUCCUCGGUGUUGGCUAUGGUGACAACCUCGACUGCUACAAUCAGAGGCCCUUCGCUUAACUAAUUAGUUAUAUUUAUAUAACCCCUCCAAACAAAAUACAAUAAGAGCAUCCUCUCUCAUCUAGAUGUUGGAAGUUGUAACUAUGGUUACAUCUCAUAAGGAACUCAAUAAAAGCAUCCAGUAUAGAUGCUUUGUAUUGAGGGCGUGUUUGGUUGAGAAGUCUUAUGACUUUUUCUAGUCCCAGGGACUAAUCAAAAAAGACUCUCUAGUAGAGUCUUUUUCUAGUCCCUGUAGAAAAAGUCCCUCCUGUUUGGUUCCUAGUGACUUUUUCUAGUCUCUGGGACUAAAAAGUCCCUGAACCAAACACCCCCUGAGUUUUACCAAAAAUAUUGGCUCUUGCUUCGAGAUGAACACUAAAUGCUUCUUAAAGAGUUCAAUCAUGGCAAACGUGAUACAUCUAGGUUUAACUAGGUAUGGUGCCUAUGUUACUUAAGGAUCAGGGGCAGAUAAGAUGAUGUCUGGAUCUGUGGAAAUGUAAAACAACUUCGUUGCGCAACACAACCAUGUUCCCCAGUUGCCGAUUCAGAAUCUGUGAUGAUUGAACCUUAGUAACAUCAAAGUCCUCCGCAGAAACGUGAGAUGGUAAACAAGAGUUUGUGCAUCGAUAAAAUAGAACAGAGAAAGAUAUGAGCGUCCUAUGUGAGUAACCAAGAAUAGUAGCAGAAUACAAGAAGUAACAGAUUAAAUUACCUGUCAAAUUGCAACUUUAAUGCAUCAAACUUUGCUCGAAAAGAUCCCAUACUGGUAGUGCACAGAAUAACCACAGUAGGAGAAGCAGCGAAGCAAAGAAAUUACGUGAAUGCAAGAGAACAGAAAGUAUUGGAUGAAAGAAAAUGACACAACAGUGGCGAUGUAGAAUAGGAAGAAGAGUUCGUCAGACAAGAGGAAGGAGAUGAACAGCAAGCAAAGAAGUAAACAUAUAAGGUCCACCCAUAGUCAAAGAAGGAAUAGGGCAAUAGUUCAUACGGCAUAUAUGUAUGAGACCGACAUGCAUAAUCAACCAUAUUUCGACGUAUUCACAACAUAUAUCAAUUACAAGUGGUUUUUCACGAUUUUUCAGUGCACACAAGUGCACGACUCACGGCGCAAAAGGACAAAAAUGCUACACGUACAGGCACAUUGUACAUGUUUUUAUAGGUUGAAGGACUGCACGCUCCUCUAAUUGCCCCCCCCCCCCCUAUUUUCACCGGUGGGCCUGUGCGUCUUAAUCAAUCCACGGCCAAUCAAUGUUAAGCAACCUGUAAAACCCCCGUAUAAGUCCGUACGUCUACCAAAGUUGGCAAAAGGACGCACGUGUGUGCCCUCGCACUUGGACCCAAAUGCGGGUGCGGUUCUCUGUCCAUUUGUUUCAAUGGAUAAAGAGUCAAUUACACCGGUGGUGCUUGAACUUGGCGCAAACGGUCACUUUGGUGCUAGAACUUGCGGCAUACAUCGAACUGGUGUAACAAGUUGGCUCGGGCGUGCAAAUACGAUGCAAACCUUGGCUGUGUACGCCCGAGCCGCUGAUUAGGCGCGCCAACAUAGGAUGGGUCCCGCCGUCAGUGACCCGAAGGCAGACAGGAGGGCGUGUGGCCAUUUUUUGCGUAAACCCUCUUGAAUUAUUAUUUUCCCACAAAAAGGCACUGUCGACGUUGGAAGAUGGCAUUUCAUUUUUUUCGACUCUAUAGCCAGUGGGCCCUGUGUGUACAUACUGAGAAUUAUUACCAAGAAAAAACGGAGGCCUCCACGUCUCGAACGUGCGACCCUUGCCCAUGUCACAGUCUGGCUGCUACACCAUUUAGUCUUCACAACUUCAGAUAAAUUUUUGUAUUCAUCAAUUUGAAUAUUAAAUAUAAGCAGCACAUGUGUAUUUUUCUAUUAAAUAAACAUUUUAAAUGUCCAUAUUUAAUUAACAAUUUUAUAUAAUAGAUGUGUGUAUGUUUAAAUAUUUUUGUCUACUAAUCAUUGUUUGUAUGUCUAACAUUUAUAAAAAAUAAAUAUUUGAACAUUAUUUUAAUUACUUACAUUUCACAAAUAUUUCAAAAAGAAUUAGCGCGUGCAAAUGGGUUGCACUAUCUGCAGCCAAUUUAAGCCCCACAUGUAUCUUCCUUAUACUACAUUAACAGUUGUUAUCCUUGUUAGACAUCAGAAUGUAAUUGAUGCAGUGGCUAUGAGCACGAGCGCCCUAACAGUAGGUCGUCGUGUUGAAUUCUAAAAAAAAGGUCACGUGUUGGAGUGUAGGAGUCUAACAUAUUCCCUUUUAAUUCCAGCAAAAAAAACAUUUUCCCUUUUAAUUUUCACGUCGGGACUCACCUGUCAUAGAACAAACAAAAUAAAAUACCAUCUACCACGUGGAUAGGGUCUUUUUUGUGAGAAAUAAAAAAUGUCGAGGUUUUUCUGCAAAAGGAAAAAAACAGGUCACGCACUUCUAGUCUUUGACAAAGGGCCCCACGCCACGCUGGCGGCCAAGUCAGCGUUGAUUUCGUAUCCAAGUGCGGUUAGCACUAUAUUUGCACACCCGAGUCAAGUUAUUGCACCAGUUUAAUGUAUGCCACAAGUUCUAGCAUCAAAGUGACCGUUUACGCCAAGUUCAAGCACCACCAGUGUAAUUGACUCAUGGAUAAAUGAUAAACUCUGGAAAGGGAAAAUAGGAAUUGCGUUCCAUGGACGUCCGUCCAUGAAUGCAUUGCGUCGUCUAUGGACUAAAAUUCCACAUGCGUGCAUACUAGCACACGCUCUGGAUCAUACAUGGCCAGCUGCUCACCGCUGUACCUCUCGACCGUAUCUAAGCUGCCAAAAUUGAUCCGUCGAUGGCAUGACGAUGUCGCCCUGGAAGAAAGCUCACGAGGAGGUAGAUGGAUAGACACAGGGUCGAUCAUGGCGAUCGAGUAGCGCGCGACACCGAUAUAAAGACGUGCACUCCCCAGCGCUUCUCCCACAACACUACACCUGCACCAGAUAGCGGUCAAGUACUCUGCUUCGUUGCCACGCACGAUGAGAUCGCUUGCGGUGGUGGCCGUGGUGGUAGCCACGGUGGCCAUGGCCAUCGGCGCCGCGCGCGGCAGCGUGUCCUCCGUCGUCUCCCGCGCACAGUUUGACCGCAUGCUACUGCACCGCAACGACGGCGCCUGCCAGGCCAAGGGCUUCUACACCUACGACGCCUUCGUCGCCGCCGCAGCUGCCUUCCCGGGCUUCGGCACCACCGGCAGCGCCGACGCCCAGAAGCGCGAGGUGGCCGCCUUCCUGGCACAGACCUCCCACGAGACCACCGGCGGGUGGGCGACCGCACCGGACGGGGCCUUCGCCUGGGGCUACUGCUUCAAGCAGGAACGUGGAGCCGCCUCCGACUACUGCACCCCGAGCGCCCAGUGGCCGUGCGCCCCAGGGAAGCGAUACUACGGCCGCGGGCCCAUCCAGCUCUCCCACAACUACAACUACGGGCCUGCUGGCCGGGCCAUCGGGGUCGAUCUGCUGAGCAACCCGGACCUGGUGGCAACCGACCCCACAGUGUCGUUUAAGACGGCGAUGUGGUUCUGGAUGACGGCUCAGGCGCCAAAGCCGUCGAGCCAUGCUGUGAUCACGGGCCAGUGGAGCCCCUCAGGGGCAGACCGGGCCGCAGGGCGGGUGCCCGGGUUUGGUGUGAUCACCAACAUCAUCAACGGUGGGAUCGAGUGCGGGCACGGGCAAGACAGCCGCGUCGCUGAUCGGAUCGGGUUUUACAAGCGCUACUGCGACAUCCUCGGCGUUGGCUACGGCGACAACCUCGACUGCUACAACCAGAGGCCCUUUGCUUAAUUAAUUAGUUAUGUAUAAUCUUGGCCCUGGGCAAAAUACAAUAAGAGGGUCAUCUCCUAUCUACAUGUUGUAAGAUGUAACUAUGGUUACCUUUUAUGCGGAACAUAACAAAGGCAUCUCGUAUGGAUGCUUUGGUACGGAAUCUUACCAACAAUAUUGGCUCUUGGUAUGAAAUGAACACUAUACGCCUUUUAACGAGUUCAACAAUGGCAAUAGAGAUGCCUCAACAUUUAAGUAGGUACUAGGAAAUAUGCCCGUGCGCUUGCGAUGGGAGAAAAAUAAUCAGAUUAUGCAGAUGUGGUAGAGAUAAAAAAAAGUCCGAAUCAAAUGUCAGGAUGAGAUAAGGACUUUUAAAAUAUCAUUUCAAAAACUAUGCCUGGAUGUCAUGAUGAGAUAAGGCACUUUUAAAGUCAUUUUAAAAAUUAAAAUGUGAUGGCCUCAUAAUGACUUGAUUUCCUAAGGCACCACAAUGAAAUACUUUUUGGCUGAGCAAACUACAUUGACGGACCAUGCCUGAGCUAUACUGAUGAAUGAUGUGUCUCGUCUUGGCCUAGCGUACUGGUGUUUUUCAUAACGAGUAAAACUAUCGUACCAAAAUAAACAUAGUUGUGUAUGGAGGCAAAUUAACAUUUAGUCAUUUUUAUAUAGUUUACCAAAACGAACCCAUAUAAAGUUGUGUGAAUUUUUUGGGCUCAGCGCUGCUCAGAAAAAGGAAACCUUUUACUUACUCUGAAGCAUGAGACUAAAUAAAAUCGUAAAAACGACCUCUACAGAGCCCCUAAUAAAACCUCUACAUAAGUGACGGUUUGUUUUUUUCGUUAUUUACGGAACUGUUUCAAUUUUUUUAAAUUUCAUAGACAUUUUUUCAGAUUACUGAACAUCUUUUGAAUACCAUAAUUUCUAAAAAAUCAUGAACAUUUUUAGUUUCACAAACAUUUUAGUUAUGUAUAAUUUUGGCCCUGCACAAAAUACAAUAAGAGCAUCAUCUCCUAUCUACAUGUUGUAAGAUGUAACUAUGGUUACCUUUUAUGCGGAACAGAACAAAGGCAUCUUGUAUGGAUGCUUUGGUACCGAAUCUUCCCAACAAUAUUGGCUCUUGGUCUCAUAUGAACACUAUACGCCUUUUAAAGAGUUCGACAACGGCAAUAGAGAUACCUCAACAUUUAAGUAGCUAUUGUGCCUGUGUUACUUUAUGUUUUUUAAUUGAACUAAAACAACAACACGAGUUAUGGAAUGGAGGGAGUAGCUUAUUUGGUUUGGUUGGUUUGGACCCUACUAUUUAGUCUUUGUUUUACUUUUUUUAAAUACCAUGAGCAAAAAAUAUUUCUUAUAAAAAUGAGAAAAACAUAAAAAUAUAUAAUUCCUAUGAAUACAAAAAAAUGUCAUGCUACUUUAUAAAACUGCCAUGUUAAUUUAAUAAAAUUCCAUGAAUAUUGCUUUGCUUUAUUUGGUCCAUUGUACAAAAAUCCAUAAAAAUGCCAUGUCAGGGAAAAAUAAAACUGCCAUGCCAAUAAAAAUAAAUUGCCAUCCUCUUUCUAAGAAAAAAAAUGUCAUCCUCUUGAUAACAAAAAUGCCAUGCCAACAAUAAUAAAAUGUUAGGCUCUCAAUAAUAAUACCGCCAACUUGUUAAUAAUAAAACUGCCAUCCUCCUAAUAAUACAAAUUCCAUACCCUUAAUCAUAAAAAUGCCAUGCUAUUAAUCAUAAAAUUACCAUCCUCUUGACAAUAAAAAUGCAAUGCUCUUAGUAAAUAAAAAUGCCAUCUUGUUAAUAAUUUAAAUGCCAUGGUAUUAUUUAUUAAAAUGCCAUGCUCUUAGUAAUAAAACUGCCAUGUAGAACUUAAGAUUACUGCCAUGUUAUUCAUGGCAUUUUUUUUGGAAAUUAUACAUGGCAAGUUUAGAAAAAAAAACCUGGAUGACAUUACAAACAAGACCUAUAAAUAAAAAUGCACAUGGCAAGUUUAGAAAAGAGGUAAUUUCGCCGGGAGUCACACAACUUGCGCCACAUGUUCAGGUUGGUGCUAAAAUCUUAAAAAUACGAUUUUAUGGUCACCUAACUUGGCUCAGUUGUGCAGAUACAAUCAUAAUAUACAUAUGCGGAAGUAUCCAUUGUGUAUGACCCCACUGUCAGUGACCGAUUACGCUGGGCCGAUUUAUUUUUGCACAAAACAUCCUGAUAUUUUUUAUUUUACAAAAAGAUCAACCACCGUGAUUUUUAUUUAUGAGAAAACUGUACAUAUAAGCGGAAAUUAACACAAAAAAUGGUUCCACCAGAUCUCGUACCCACGACCAACCAGUAUACAACAACACAUACUAGCGAGUACGACCCUUCAAUUCUUGGUGUCUGAUAUGGAUAACGAACCUAUAUGGACUAAACGGGACGCAUGUAGACCUUAACCCAUUUUACACGCGCUGUUCCUUGGAUAUAUUUGUAAAACAUAAGUAAUAAAGUUAUGUUUAAAUAUUUGUGCAUUAAAAAUAUUAUACAUACAAACGAUGAUUAGUAAGUAAACUUUCAAAUAUAAACAUGUGCAUCAUAUAAACAAGUGUUUUAUACAAAUGUGUGUAUACAUAUUUAGUUUUCAAAAUUACAAUUCAAAAAAAUAUUUUAUUCAUGCAAACACUUAAAUAAUUAUAUGCACAUUUGUAUAGUUUAAUGUUUGUACAAUUAAAACUAUUCAUAAUUUAAAAUUUAAAUUGUUAAUAUGAUGUUCAAUCAUGGAUAAUAAAUAAAUUAUGUAUUUAUCUUAAUAUAAGUCAUGAGUAAAAAAUUAUACAUAAGUGAAUAUUCAAAAUUAUCUAGUUAAUGUUUCUAUUCAUAAUUUUGUAUAAUUUAAAUAUAAGCCGCAAGUGUNNNNNNNNNNNNNNNNNNNNNNNNNNNNNNNNNNNNNNNNNNNNNNNNNNNNNNNNNNNNNNNNNNNNNNNNNNNNNNNNNNNNNNNNNNNNNNNNNNNNNNNNNNNNNNNNNNNNNNNNNNNNNNNNNNNNNNNNNNNNNNNNNNNNNNNNNNNNNNNNNNNNNNNNNNNNNNNNNNNNNNNNNNNNNNNNNNNNNNNNNNNNNNNNNNNNNNNNNNNNNNNNNNNNNNNNNNNNNNNNNNNNNNNNNNNNNNNNNNNNNNNNNNNNNNNNNNNNNNNNNNNNNNNNNNNNNNNNNNNNNNNNNNNNNNNNNNNNNNNNNNNNNNNNNNNNNNNNNNNNNNNNNNNNNNNNNNNNNNNNNNNNNNNNNNNNNNNNNNNNNNNNNNNNNNNNNNNNNNNNNNNNNNNNNNNNNNNNNNNNNNNNNNNNNNNNNNNNNNNNNNNNNNNNNNNNNNNAAUACACGAGUUUAUAUUGAAAUGUUUUUAUUUAUGAAUCAUAUUUUUGAAUUAUAGUAUUUCUAACACAAAAGAAUUUGAACAUAAUUUUAUUACUUAUGCUUUACAAAUAUCCUAAAUAUUUCCUUUACUUAUGUGUUACUAAAUAUUUUAUAUAUGAUACACAGGUUUAUAUUUAAAUAUUUUUAUUUACUAAUCAUCAUUUGUAUGUAUAAUAUUUUUAACACACAAAUAUUUGAACAUAAUUUUAUUACUUUUUUAGACAACAUAACUUUAUUACUUAUGUUCUAUAAAUAUCUUACAAAUAAUAGCGCGCACAAAACGGGACACAGAUCCGCAACCCAAUUAAACUCCACACAGUUUUUGUGUAUAUACAACUUCUUAUCCAGAGUACACAAGACUACCUGAAGUGCCUGGUGGCUACACCAGCAGUGUUUAAACUGGUUGUUGCGGGUUCAAGUCCAUCUGAUGUAUCUUUUUUAUGCUAAUUUUCGCAUAUACGUGCACUACUGUGGUCCAGUUUUUCUGUAAGUAAAAAAAGUGAGAGGGUAUUGUGUACAAAUUUGUCGCUAUUUUUGACUUUUUCUCCAAAUAAAAAAAUGAGGGUGUUCUGUGUAAAAAUACAUCGCCGCCUAAUGCCCUCACUCGCUGCUAAGUGGGGCCAUACACAUGGAUACGCCCGCAUACGUGUAUAGCGUGACCGUAUCCGCAUGCUUGAGUCAAGUUAGGUGACCACAAAAUCGUAUUUUCAAAAUUCUAGCACCAAACUGAACAUGUGACACAAGUUCUAUGACUUCCGUUGAUAUUACCUCUUUAGAAAAAAUCUAUUUAAAAAUAGGGAAAUUUUGUUCUUUGAAAACUGAAAAAAAUCUGGAUUGCAUUUUAAAAGGAAAAAAAUCAAUUUAAAAUAAUUUAGCUUCAAACACAUAAAAACAAGUAUAGUACAUCUAUUCACAGAACCUGUUGCAACCCAACUGGUAAGCGUGUCACGCCUCUUCAGCCGAUCUACAUGGCAUUGUCAUUGCGUCAAGAUACGUGCAACAACGAUCGGGUCAUUUGCUGGGGUUGGCCUCCCAGGGAACGGGUGCCAGAGAAAAUUUUCCUCUGGUACAUAAAGCACCCUGCUAGUCUAAGAAUUUUCACAUGAAAAGAGACCGAAUACAAACUUGCCAGAAUAAUAUGUACACAAAUGGAAACACAGAAAAGACAUUGCAUGAGAAUCUCAACACAAAUAGGGCCCUAGUACCAUUGGACUGCACGUCCAUUUCUUAAAUGAAUAGUGUCUAUAGGUCCAUCAGAGCAUAAUCAUUAUUUUUAGGACACUCAUAAGUUUCAAACGUUCGGGAUUUGCCCAUGGCAAAUCAAACAUUUUUCUAGGGGCAAUUUAUAUACGCGAGGGAUGGCAAGUUUAUAGUUUGUAAACAUGGCAAUUCUGUCCCCAAUUUGUUUUAUUGCCAGGAAAUUGCCUUGCUUGUCAACUAAAUUUGCUAUAAAAACAUUCGAUUUGCCAUGGAAAAAUCCUGAAUGUUCGAUAUUUAUCAUUUCCGAAUUUUUAUCGAUAAACAACAGAAAAUAAUGCCUGCACAAAAUAAGAGUGUGCUCUUCCAUCCUUUAAAAUGUGCAAACCACUCAAUUUUGAUUUUUUUUAACCCCGAACCAGGUUCAAUUUCUGGCUUCAGAGUAUGCAAACAAUAAAAAUGCUACACGUUUCUAAAUCGAAAAUUGCACCUAAUAGUGUACAUUUAUGCCAACACCCAUCUGUACAUUUAUAAACCAAGUGUACAUUUAUGCCAACACCCAUCUGUACAUUUAUAAACCAAAAUUGUACAUUUAUGCCAACACCCAACACAAUUUUAUAAUGAGCAAACUAAUAAAGACAAAAAAAUACUAACUAAAAAAUUAAUGUAACAAAUAUAAAUAAUCAAAUAUCUUUAAAACACAAAUACAUAUCUUCUUUGGUUUUAGAUUUUUAGUACAUAAAGCAUUCCAGUCCAAGAAUCCUCACAUGGAAGACGGAAUACAAACUAGCCAGAAUAUGUAAUAUUAGGUGCCAAAUAGAAACACAGAAAAGACAUUUCACACCAGCAAAAAAAGAAAAUACAUUUAACAAGAAUCGCACCACAAAUAAAAAAGCUUGAAGGGUUCAUAACCUAAACACACCAGCAUAACCGAAGUUGGGAUUAUUUUGUCUAAUCUGUAUGCAACUAUGCAUACAAAUGGAAGAAAAUAUAUGUGAUCACACUCCUUUACUUAUUUUGUUUCUACUAGGAUUAUAUCCAAAAUGCACGCACGUCAAAAUCCUUGACAUCGCUGGGUGUGAGGUAGGAUCGACCAGGCCAGUACGGCGAAUAGCGGGGAUGUAAGGUAUGACCGACUAGGCCAGAGCGGCGCAGCCACGAGCUCGCCGUUCCUUCCAUACCUGAUGCGGCACAUGGUCACGCGGAGCAGGCAGUCGUCGCCGUCGCCGUCGGCUUUGGAGCGGCUGGAGCUGACACCCUUGCGCCAGGCCCGCUCGACCAGGCAAAACGGGCCUCUGCCACCUGUGUGGAGGAGCACAGCACGCCCCGUACUCUUAAGCUUGGGCUCCAGGAACGUCAGCUUCUCUGCGGCAAGACUCCAGCGAGGCACCGGCGGCGGGCAGACUCCGUCGACCAGCUUCUCCUCUUCCACCUCUUCAUCCUCCUCCCCUUCAUCCUCCUCUUCAUGGGUCCCUUCAUCCUCCUCCUCUUCCUCCUCAUUCCUGAUCAGGUCCGGGACGUCAUAGGAGCAGAGGUGCUCGUGCUCGUCAUUGCGGUAGCCUUGGCCGUCGCGGGCGGCGUGGGUCUUCCCGACCCACGCGCCCAGGUCACCGUCGUAGUGCGCCUGGGCGCCUGGCCUUCGAACGGCAGGUACCAGGUGCCGUACUGCGUCCAGCUCCAGCACCCCCACUCGCUCUGCGUGUCCAGCGCGAAGGUCCCCAGCUGCUGCACGCUCUGCCGCUCCGGAUCCUUCUUGCCACCCUCUUGCUCCGGUUCUUCCUCCACAAAGCCGGUGCGGUAGUCGCCGGAGCGGCGCCUGACGGAGACGAAUAUAGUGCGCCCGUCCGGGUGCAAAGCGCACGCCGAGACAUAGCUGUCCUUGUAGGGGGUGAAGGGCUCUGUGGGGCCGGGGCCAACCUCCCAGUGGGGCACGGCGUACUCGUCCAAGUUGAGCAUGCUGCUGCUCUUGGAAUCCAAGGUGUACAGAUUGUUGCCUGCGGCCACGGCGUGGUGGCAGCAACCAUCUCCGUGCGGGGGGUCUCUGUUCCCAGUGCGCAGCGUCGCCGUCUCCGUGUCAUACACGAGGGUUAGGCCGUCGCCGUCGUCGGUGGUCACGACAACGUUGCUGCCCAGGGCGUGGAAGCCUGGGUUUGUGCCGAUCGAGCGGGAGUCGAAGCGGAGGAUCGGAUCGGGGAGGCGCCGUGGCUCCACGCCACCGUCGUCGCCGCCGCCGACCAGCUCCCCCGAGCUGAUCUUAUGCAGGGAGAAACCGUGCUUCCAGUCAUCCAGAACAACGUACAGAUGCCGCCGCCGCUGCUCCUGUUCCGCGCCGCAACUGUUGCACAAGUGCGGCCAUGUUUCCGCGGGCACCGGCGGCACCGGGUCGCGAUGUGAUUUACCGGCAUCGGCCGAGGCGUAUGCACGCCAUGUACCGCCCAGCACAAGGGACUGCCGGUGUGCGGAUGCAGGGCGCCGGAGACGGGAGAGAAGCGCAAGCGGCGGCAGAGAUCGAGCGAGCCACAUUGCGUGCGUGUGUGUAGCUCGCUAGGGUUCUGGGUGAGGUUCGUUUGGGUUUAUCCUCUUUUAUUAAGUGUAAAUGGCCUAUAUGUUAGCCCAACUUAUUUAGUAACCUUGGCCCAAAAGUACUGCCUCAAUUAAUUAAAAUUUGAUUACAAAUUAGACCAACCAACAUGAUAUCAUAAAUAAGACUAACCAAAUUUAGAUUAUAGUAAUAUAUGAAAAAAUUUAUACCAUUAAAUUAUUAUUCAAAAAGUUUUUCGUAAUAUAUAUUUUGAAGUAAAAAAUAAUACACUAUAGUUCUAAUUUAUUGGAAUGGAAGGACUAUGUAAAUUCAUGAUCUGGACCUGGUCCAUAUCAUCUCGACUCCAAAGUUUAGCAAAACCACAUCACUUAAAAUUUCAAAAAUUAUGAGGAAACAUUAUGCAUAUAUAAAAAAGAGAGAAGUCCACUUUACAACACCGAACUAUUCCAUUUGUAAAAUUUGACCCAAACAAUUUCAACCCCUUUUGGUGAAAAAAUUCCAACAAUAAAAGUAUCUAGAAAUUUUUGACAUAAUUCUGUAAACUCAAGACUAAUAUAAUGGUCAUUUUGGGAAACUUUCAAAUGUUUAUGCCAACAAAUUUAAACAUAAUACGAAAUUACAAUUUUGGACCCUUUUUGGCCAUUUUUAUUUAAAAAAAAUGUAAGUAUGACAAAAAUUUGGAAGAAAUUCUCUAAAAAUCAAGAAUAGUACUGAUAACUCUAUGCAAGUUUGAGAUAUUUUGCACGGACAGAUUAAAAAAACCAUGAAAUUACAAUUUCUUGUCCAAAUUUUGUCAAAAAUACUGUCCAGGAAAAAAUGAAAUAAUUUUGUGAACUAAAUACUAAUAUAUUGAUCAUUUGGUGAAGGUUUUAGAUGUUUUGGCCAAACAGAUUUUAAAAUAUCCUAAAAUUAUUUUUUCUGUCCUAUUUUAGUCCAUGUGCCGACGCCGUUGCUGAUUGGGAUCCGACUGUAUGGUCAACGGGUCAUAAUCCGACAUGCUCGCCAAAAUCAGGGCCAGAUUUUUUUUUGCAGAGUGCGGUGUUGAUUCUUAGCCGGUUUUAGAGUUGAGGCUUCAUUCUUGGACAAACCGAAUAGUUGAGGGUUUUAAGUGGACUUCUCUACAUAAAAUAGAUAAUAUAAAACAUGAAGCAGGUUCCAAAAUUCCCUCUACAAAAACUAUUACCAGUUAUUUCCCAACAAAGAUCAAGCCGUGGAACCUAGUCUAUAAUUUCGACAAAUUACAAAUCAGAUUCGACAUAAUAAUAGCUAAAAUUAUGUGGAAUUUUGCCAGAAACUGUAUUACAUACAUGAGCAAUUACUCACAUAUUUGCAAAGUAUGUGUGACUUACACAUCUCAGUGACCCUACUAAGUCUGUACAUAUUAGCACAUGGCCUAUGUAACUUCCCAAUGAGGAAGCCUAACAAGAUAUCAGAUUCGUAAUGUAGACUGGCUUUUUUAGCGAUAAGAACCUAGAAUGAAGUUUGUUAAAAAGAGACCAACCCGACUAGCUCGACUAGGUGAAACUAUUGAUUACGAUUGUGUGAGUAACACUUAACGGUACACGAGAUGUUGCAAUGUGUCUCGGAUUGAGGUGUUCACUUUAGGGGGAAAAAGUAUACAUUUUUUUUACUAGGGCACGGAGACAAUAAGAGAAAUUUGGCUCAAAUUCAGACAUACAAUUAUGUGGAAAAAUAUAGAUUACGAAUGUGUGGGUAACACUUUGCUAGCAACCGCUAAUUAAAUUGGAGAUAAUCACUUUGAAUAAAUUGUUUCUUUGCUAUAGAUAGUAACGAGGUAACUGUACUCCAUGGACGCCGUACAUUUUUCUUGGCCAUAGAUAGUAACGAGGUAACUGUAUUCCAUGGACGCCGUCCAUGAAUGCCUGCCCAUGCGUCAUCUAUCUAUUUUUCUGUCAUCCAUGCAUACAAACUUACAAACACAGACGCUCUCGAUCAGCUCACCCCUCGGCCGUAUCGGAGCCGCCAGGUUUGAUUGCUGCCUAGUUCUUGCAACACGAGCGCGACACAUAUAUAUAAAAACGUGAGAUUCCCCACCGCUUCUGGCACGUACACACACUUGCACCAGCCAGCGGCCAACCGAGCUGUGUGUACGAUGAGAACGCUCGCGGUUGUGUCCGUGCUAGCCACGGCGGCCAUGGCCAUCGCCUGCGCGCGUGCCGCACAGUGCAGUUCGCAGGCCGGCGGGGCGACCUGCCCGAACUGCCUCUGCUGCAGCCGCUUCGGCUGGUGCGGCUCUACCGCGGAGUACUGCGGUGACGGCUGCCAGAGCCAGUGCUCUGGCUGCGGCACGCCCGGCUCCUUUGGUGGCGGCGUUUCCUCCAUCAUCUCCCGCUCACUCUUCGACCGGAUGCUGCUGCACCGCAACAACAGGGCGUGCCAAGCUAAGGGAUUCUACACCUACGACGCCUUCCUAGCGGCCGCGGCCGCCUUUCCGGGCUUCGGCACCACGGGCGGCACCGCCACCCGAAAGCGUGAGGUGGCCGCCUUCCUAGCGCAGACCUCCCAUGAGACCACCGGCGGGUGGGCUUCGGCCCCGAACGGGCCCUACGCGUGGGGCUAUUGCUUCAAACAGGAGCGCGCUAAGUCCAAUUACUGCACCCCAAGCGUGAUAUGGCCAUGUGCCCCUGGAAGACGCUACUAUGGCCGAGGGCCCAUCCAGCUCUCUCACAACUAUAACUAUGGGCCGGCGGGCCGGGGCAUCGGGGCUGACCUGCUGGGCAACCCGGGCUUGGUGGCCACAGACUCGACCGUGUCAUUCAAGACGGCAAUUUGGUUCUGGAUGACAGCGCAGCCACCCAAGCCCUCGAGCCACGCGGUCAUAACGGGCCAUUGGAGUCCUUCAGCAGCGGACCGGGUUGCGGGGCGAGUGCCAGGAUUCGGCGUGAUCACCAACAUCGUCAAUGGCGGGAAGGAGUGCGGGCAUGGGUAUGAUAAGCGUGUUGCUGACCGGAUCGGGUUUUACAAGCGCUACUGCCACAUCCUCGGCGUCACCCACGGUGACAACCUUGACUGCUACAACCAGAAGCAUUUCCCUAUAAUUUUUUCUUGAGAUAUUACUUUGUAAUAAACCAGCGAGACUUAUUUUAGGAUGAAGGGAGUAUAAAAGCUUUAGAAAUAUAAUCAUAAAACAAGAUAUUUCAACGGUCAGGCGAUACACACAAAAUUGUGGGUUACUUGUUGUGCGCGAAGCACCAUGGGUCUAUGCAAAUGAUUCGGCCCGGCCUCAUCUUCCCUGCAUGAUGUCAUCAAGGCCAUUGUUUUAGGAGUGACGCCGGAGCGCUCCCCCAUGCCUUGCCGCCAGACGACGACCAGGGGUAUGCUGUGUCUACGAACACGCCAGGGCAGCCAUACCGCAGAUUGGCGACCUUGGCCUUAUACUCACCCAACUUCGUUUUCAUACCCACUUGGCGAGCUUGUUAGCCCUUCUUUUGAGCCCAUUGGUCCUCUUGCGGAACGACUGGUUGGUUACUCAUUCUUUUUUUUUAAAACUUCCAACACGUCUGGCCCAAUUUGCUCAAAAAAAAGCCCAAUGGAGUGCUGAAACACGGCAUGGACCAAGUUUUGCAGUUUGUUUUGUAGCCUGCCAUAUAUCGCUGUUGAAAUUCAUGUAUGCUGCUUGGUUACCUUCAACCGUGGUAUGAGGUUUGUCUCAAAAAAAAAAAAACUGUGGUAUGAGGUCCACUGAAAAAAAAAAACUGUGGUAUGAGGAUGGGCAGAUGGAAACCGUAAGUGUUUGGCUAUGUGCAAUGGGAUGUUCUGCUCACCCAUUCAAAUUCGGCGGGCUUACCACCUCAAAUGUUACACAGCAACCUUAAAGAGUAUACAAUUUUUUUUACUAGAUCACGGAGACAAUUAGAGAAAUUCGACUAAAAUUCAGACAUACAAUUAUGUGGAAAAAAUAUAGAUUACGAAUGUGUGGGUAACGCUAGCUACCGCUAAUUAAAUGGGAGAUAAUCACUUCACAUAAAUUGUUUCUUGGCUAUAGAUAGUAACGAGGUAACCAUAUUCCAUGUUUUAAUAAUGCUCAGUUGCCGCCCAACUAAUUUAGUAAUCUUGUAAGUGCAUCUAGUGUCCCUUAGUGAUUUUGGUGUAUUGAAGACUUAUAGGUUUAGGGACUAAUGCUUUUGUGAGUGUACACAGGUCUAUAAGUCUAUGAGGAGUUUGAUAUUUACAGAGAAAGUCGACCCCUAAAAAUGAAGUUCUUCGACUGAAGACUUUGGAUUUCUGAAGACUUUCUGAAGACUUUGAAAGUGAAGAAAUUGGUGUGACCUUGAAGGCUUGGUAUUCAUUCAAAGAACAUGAAGCGUGAAGACUUUUGUUUUCGUAGUUUCAUUUUCUCUUUCUUGAGUCAUAGGAAACACCGUACUGUUAAAGGGGGUCGAGGAAAUACUAAGGAAAAUUUCCAUGUGAUGCUCAACUCAAAAUCCUACACCUACCAAUCCCUUCGAGUGAAACCAUUGGAAAUCUCAUACAGUUCAGUCAAUUUCUUCAGUGACAGAGACGAAUUUCUUCUGGUCUCUGAGUAAUUUGUUCUGACCGAGGAGUUAGGAAUUCGCCAGUGCGGAUUGCCUACACAGUGAGGAACAUGACAGCCCUGAGGAUUUUGCUACUCAAAAUUCCGACCGUUGCUGUGCUAUGCGCCAGCUGUCCUAAAAUAGCUAUCCACCUAACGGUCAUAUCAUUGAAGGGCAUUUAUGUCUUAUCAUGUCGGGCUGCUUCCUAGGCUAUAAAUAGCCGCCCCCUACAACCACUAGCUGGUUGGCUGCUCCGAGAGAAACUGACACUUGUCAUUUGAGAGCAACCCAUCCUCUGAGGACUUUGAGCGAAAAUCAUCAAGUGAGGAAAAACCCAAACCAAAACCCAAACACCUUCAAACCCCAAGUGAUUGAGCAUCACUGAAGAGAUUGAUCCUGCGUGGAUCCGACGCUUAUUACAUUUGAAGACUGUGCUUCUUUCAGACGGUUAAACGUCAUGGUCUAGAGCAUCUAAGAGGAAUUGUGGAUCGCCGAGUGACCAAGUUUGUGAAGGUUUGGAAGUCGCCCGAAGACUUACCACGAGUGAUUGGGCGAGGUCUGUGUGACCUUAGCUCAAGGAGAAUACGGUGAGGACUGGGUGUCCUGAGCUGCGUGUUCAGGACUCGGUGUCCGGGACUGUGUGUCCUCGAGUUUAAAUAGUCAGCCGCUCCAACCAGACGUACAACUGAGACAGCAGUUGGAACUGGUCUACCAAAUCAUUGUCUUCACGAAGCUUACUGGUUCCAUUUCCUCAACUCCUUCAUUUCCUCAUAACUGUGUUGUGUGCUUGUUCAUAUCUAUGCUUGAAGACUUUGACUGAAGACUUUCUCAAUUUCCUCAGUUCAAUUUCUUCAGUCUGAUUGUCUUCAUCCUGUGUUAUCAUGUGCUUACGCUUCCUGUACUUUGUGCCUGUCUUCAUUUCAUCAUGAUGACUAUGCUUGUAUUCUGUUAUGUUUACUUUUGAGUACUUAUUCCGCUGCUAGUAGUUCUUCGCUAAGGAAUUUCCUCUCUGGCAAAUUCCUCAGUGAAGAAUUUCAUAAAAAUCGCCUAUUCACCCCCCUUUAGUCGAUAUAACGCACUUUCAAUUGGUAUCAGAGCAAGGUACUCCCUUGUUCUGUGUGAUUUUGGUUUAACCGCCUGGAGUUUUAGUUAUGUCAAUCAUAGGUAUGAUCAAGGUCUCUGCUGGGUGUCCUACCUUCGAUGGGACGGACUACCCCUACUGGAAGAAUAAGAUGUGAAUGCAUCUUGAGGCAAUUGAUAACGAUCUCUGGUAUGUUGUGGAAAAUGGUGUUCCCUCAGUCACACCUUCUCUGAAUGUGCUGAUGUGAAGAGAUUCAAGCAACUCGACUCUCAAGCGAAGAAUAUCAUAUGUGGCCAUCUGAGCAAAGGACAGUAUGGCAGAGUGAGUGCUUUGGAGACAGCAAAACUUAUCUGGGACAGGUUGUCCAAAGUGAAUGAAGGAGUCUCAACACAGCGUGACUCUCGAGUUGAUUUUCUUCGCAAUCUCUUCAACCGCUUCAAAAUACUCGACAAUGAAAAUGUUCAACAAACCUUCGAUCGCCUCACUGACAUCUCAAAUGAGCUUCGAGCACUUGGUGCCACUGACAUCACCGACCAUGAGGUGGUGAAGAAAUUGCCAAGAUCGCUUGAUUCCUCAUUUGACACUCUGGCAUUGAUGAUACAAGAACGUGCUGAUUACAAGUCACUUGAUCUCGCUGAUAUUCUCGAGAGGCUAAAUACUCAUGAGUUCCAACUUGCUGAAAAAAGAGAUUUCUAUGGUUCAAGCUAUGGCAGAUCACGUGCACUGAAGGCCAAGGAAGUAUCUGAGUCUGAAGAUGAAGACUCUGGUAGCAGCCUUGGUGAUCCUGAAGAACUAAGCCAUGAACUGGCUCUGCUGGUGAAGAAGUUCCAAAAGUUCUCAAGACGUGGUUGCCUUGGAAGACCCUCAAGGAGCAGUGAUUCCUCAUCCAGUGACUAUGAGAGGAGGCUCUGCCACAAAUGCAAGAAACCUGGACAUUACAUUCAAGAUUGUCCUCAGUGGGAAAAGGAAUCAAAGAAGAAGAAAUACAAGGAUUACAGUUCUGAUGAUGUGAAGAAAAAGAAGAAAUCCACAAAAUCUUCAUCAUCAAAAUCCUCAAAGCCUUCAUAUCACAAGAAGAGCAGCUCCAAGAAGGCCAGGGCAUUUAUUGGCAAGAAAAUGGACUCUGAGGCUGAAUCUGAAGAAAAUGAGGAAGAUGAGUCAUCUGAGGAGUCCGAAUCCGGAGUGGCGAGACUAGCUCUCGCUACUGCAUUCGUCAGCAAGUCUAUCUUCAACACUGAAGAAAAUGACCUCACCAACAAGGCUGAUGAAGGGGAUGAUGACUACGCUCCCACCUAUUGCUUCAUGGCAAAGGGUGCCAAGGUACUCAAAUAUACCUCAUCUGAAUCAAGUGAGAAUGAAUCUGAUGAAAACCUUAAGCCCGACUAUUCUAAACUUGCUAAGAUUGUUGUAAAGCAACAAAGAGCUUUAGAAAAGGUUCAAAACAUGCUAGACAAAAGUGAUGAUAUGUUGGGUGAAGAAAUGGAUCGCACUAAAGCCUUGACUGAAAAUAUUCAGAGAUUUCAGACUAGGUUUGACAAUCUUCAAAGUCAUCAUAACACUCUCUUAUCCGAUCAUGAGAAGCUUUCUUAUGAAUUUCUUCAAAGAAAGCAAGAUCUUGAGAAGCUAAGAGUGAGUUAUGAAGAUCUUCAGAAGGAGCGCGAUUCAUUACUUGCUCAACAAAUCAGCGCUUCUCAGGAAGAAUUUGUUCCUCCAUGUUUGAAAUGCAUUGAACGUGAAUCUGCUAAUUCUUCACCUGAAUGUUCAAAUGCUGCUAAUGUUUCAAAUUCUUCACAUGCCUCUGCUAUCACUAAUUCCUCAUCUGAGGACAUUGCUAGUAUCACUGACGAUGCAGGGCUGAAGGAAUUGUACAUGACAUGCAUGUACAAAAGCCUCAAAGGGCAUCAGACUCUUUGUGAUGUGCUUAAAAAGCAGAUCCUCAAUGGGAACCCUAGGAAAGAGGGUAUUUCCUUUGAGAGGACACUCAACGCUGAUGGUACAUAUUGGAAGCCUGAGUAGUACCCCAAAACUACAUGGGUUGCUGCAAAGGGACCUCCAGUUGAUCCAUCUAACCUAUCUGGAUAUGCAUGUGAAUCUCCUCAUUCUGAUGAUGAGUCAUUUGACUCCAACUAUAUACUGUUCAAAAAUCAGAAUGGUGAAGUAUUUGCUAGAUAUGUUCGCACUAACUGCAGGAACGGUUCCCCUAUGAAGAAAAUCUGGGUUCCCAAAAGAUGCCUUGAAAAUCUUCAGGUGAAUGUCACCAUGACGUCACCUGUGAAGAAUAGGAACCCUAGAUCAAAUUCUUCAUAUGGACCAAAUUUUUCAUAUGGAUCCAAGUCCUCAUACGAACCAAACUCCUCACAUGGAUCAAAUUCCUCAAAAGGAUCAAAGUCCUCAUAUGAACAUCAUCGUGCUAACCCGUCUAUUUCGCAGGGAAGAUCUAAGGAUUAUGGAUAUGUGCAUUAUUCUUCAAAUUAUUAUGUCCAUAAGUCCUCGAAGAAUUUCUCUGCUUACUCUUAUGCUUACUCUAACCCCUCUUAUGUGAAACGAAAUGGACUGGCUUCUAUGCCAUCCUUCUCGUAUGGAGCUCGUAGAAUGAUGAACUCUUUGCCACCCCUUCAGAUGUGGGUGGUGAAGAAAAAGAACUAAUCUCUUCUGCAGGGUCAGGUCUCCAGACGUACGUAAUCGUCUGAAGAAUUUGCUGGAGACCUGAGUAUGCCUGAUAGGACGCAGGCUAAUCAUGAAGAAAUGAACUCUUAUUUCUCACGUCCUCACACUGUUUUAUCUGUUCUGUUGUUUGAUGAAAUUGAUCUGAUGAAUUGAUGUCAUAUUCUUCACUGAUGAAGUAUAUGAGUUUGUAAGCUGCACUAAUUCAUCUGCAGGAUGAUCAACCCAAAGCCACUGAGUGGGUCCUCGAUAGUGGAUGUACAAAUCACAUGACUGGUGACAAGAAUCUAUUGAUGGAUGCUCCAUUAUCUCCAUCACAUCUGAAGCAUAUCAUCUUUGCUGACAAAGGCAAAAGUCAGGUAUUGGGUCUAGGUAAGGUUGCGAUCACAAAGGAUCCACACAUGGACAAGGUCAUGCUUGUUGAGUCCUUAGGAUACAACCUUAUGUCUAUCUCAAUGCUUUGUGAUCUUGAUAUGGCUGUUGUCUUUGGCAAGUACCGUUGUGUUGUGGUUAUGGAAGCUGACAAUUCCAAAGUCUUCGAAGGCUUUAGGAGAGGAGACCUGUAUAUUGUUGAUUUCUCUACAGGACCACAACCAGCCGUGUGCUUACUUACAAAAGCUUCAGAAGGCUGGCUCUGGCAUCGACGACUUGGUCAUGCAGGCAUGAGGAAUUUGCACACGCUUGUGAAGAAGAAGCAUGUCAUAGGCAUCGAGAAUGUCAAAUUCCUCAAGGAUCACCUAUGCGGAGCCUGUGAAGCUGGGAAGAUGACAAAGGCCAAGCAUCCAGCGAAGACUAUCAGGACCACCACUCGCCCAUUUGAAUUGCUUCACAUGGAUCUCUUUGGUCCUAAUCAUUAUUCUGCUAUUUCAAAUGAAGCAUCUCAAUAUGGCUUUGUUAUUGUUGAUGAUUACUCUCGUUAUACAUGGGUACACCUUGUUACUUACAAACAUGAAGUGCAGGAAGUCUUCAAACAAUUUUCCUCGAGGGCUUCAACCAACUUUGGUGUGAAGAUCAAGCACAUCAGAAGUGACAAUGGCACUGAGUUCAAGAAUUCUGGUCUCGAUGACUAUCUUGAUGAACCUGGUAUUACUCAUGAGUUAUCUGCUCCUUACACUCCUCAGCAGAACAGCGUCGUGGAGCACAAGAACAGGACUCUUGCUGAGAUGGCUUGCACUAUGCUUGAUGAAUACAAAACGCCUCGUCUUUUCUGGACUAAGGCAAUUGAUACUGCGUGCCACAUCAUCAACGGAGUAUAUCUUCACAAAUUCUUUAAGAAGACUGCCUAUGAACUCCUCACUGAUAAGAAACCCAAUGUAAGUUAUUUCAAAGUCUUCGGUGCUAAAUGUUGGAUUAGAGAUCCUCAUCACAACUCAAAAUUUGCACCGAAAGAACAUGAAGGGUUUAUGCUUGGUUACGGAAAGGACCCGCACACCUACAGAGUCUUCAACAACGUUCUUCACAAGGUUGUUGAAACUGUAGAUGUGCAGUUCGAUGGAACUAAUGGCUCGCAAAGAGAGCACCUACCUACUGUGAUAGAUGAACCAGCACCUGAGGAAACUAUCAAGUUCAAGGCUAUUGAGGAUGUCAUUCCUACUGAAGAAUCUGCUGAAGAAUUCAUUCCAGAGCAUGAAGAACGUCGAGCUAAUGCACCUGAAGAAAAUACUGAAGAAAAUGGUGUUGAAGAAAAUGCUGAUCAAAUUCUUCAACGACAACCAACUCAUCCUCGCAUUGCAAAAGAAGUGCAAGUUGAAAAGAUCAUCAAUGACAUCAAAGCGCCAGGUCCUCUCACACGCUCAAAAGCUUCACAUUUAUCUAACUUUUGUGGGCACUAUGCUUUUGUCUCUAUUACAGAGCCCACUAAGGUAGAUGAAGCAUUUCUGGAAUCUGAGUGGAUUCAGGCCAUGCAAGAAGAAUUACAUCAGUUCGAGCUCAACAAUGUCUGGGAACUGGUCAAACAUCCAGAUCCUCGCAAGCACAAUAUCAUUGGCACAAAGUGGAUCUACCGCAACAAGCAAGAUGAAAACGGCCUUGUGGUGAGGAAUAAGGCACGGCUUGUAGCUCAAGGCUACACACAGGUUGAAGGAAUUGAUUUCGAUGAAACUUUUGCACCUGUUGCUAGACUUGAGGCUAUUCGCAUAUUACUUGCUUAUGCUAACCAUCAUGAUAUCACUUUAUAUCAAAUGGAUGUGAAAAGUGCAUUCUCAAUGGUAAGCUUGAGGAAGAAGUAUAUGUUGCUCAACCCCCAGGUUUUGAAGAUCCAAAGAAUCCUGACAAAGUCUUCAGACUCAACAAGGCCCUCUAUGGCCUCAAGCAGGCCCCACAGGCGUGGUAUGAUACCUUGAAGGAAUUCCUCAUGACGAAAGGCUUCAAACCCGGUUCACUCGACCCUACUCUUUUCAUUAAAUCUUAUGAUGGUGAAUUAUUUGUGUGCCAAAUAUAUGUUGAUGAUAUUAUCUUUGGCUGUACUGACCAACGUUAUAGUGAUGAAUUUGCCUAUAUGAUGAGUGAAGAAUAUCAAAUGUCUAUGAUGGGAGAGUUGAAAUUCUUCUUAGGUCUUCAAAUUCGUCAACAACGCAAUGGCAUAUUCAUAUCUCAGGAGAAAUACCUCAAGGAUGUACUGAGGAAAUUCAGCAUGCAAGAUUGCGAAGGAGUCAAAAUUCCUAUGCCCACAAAUGGCCAUCUCUGCACUGAUGAAAAUGGUAUUGACUUCGAUCAUAAGGUAUACCGCUCCAUGAUUGGUUCUUUAUUGUACUUAUGUGCAUCUAGGCCAGAUAUAAUGCUUAGUGUUUGCAUAUGUGCCCAAUUUCAAGCUACACCGAAGGAAUCACACCAUAAGGCUGUGAAGCAUAUUCUUCGAUAUCUAGCUCACACACCAACACUUGGAUUAUGGUACCCCAAGGGCUCGGCUUUUGAUCUCAUUGGAUAUUCUGACUCUGACUAUGCUGGUGAUCGUGUGGACCACAAGUCAACAUCUGGUACAUGAAAUUUUCUCGGACGAUCUUUGGUCUGUUGGUCCUCGAAGAAACAUAACUGUGUAUCACUAUCUACUGCUGAAGCUGAGUACAUUGCCGCUGGUUCUUGCUGUGCUCAAUUGCUAUGGAUGAAGCAAACUCUCAAGGAUUAUGGCGUCAACAUUAAGAAUGUGCCUCUCUUCUGCGACAAUGAGAGUGCCAUCAAGAUUGCUCACAACCCAGUUCAGCACUCGAAGACAAAGCACAUUCAGAUUCGUCAUCAUUUUCUUCGUGAUCAUGUGUUGAAGGGCGACAUUUCUAUUGAGCAUGUGAAGACUGAAGAACAGCUAGCCGAUAUCUUCACAAAGCCCUUGGAUGAGAAGAGAUUUAGCAAGUUGCGGUGUGAGCUAAAUAUCCUAGAAUCUUCGAAUGUUUUUUGAAAAGGACACUCAUCCUAACACUUAUGCAAAAUUGAUGACUUAGAUGUGCAACACAUGAAGAAACGUUUCUCUUGAAUCAAUGAAGAAUAACACUCUUAGUGUGAAGAAAUUAACAAAGAAUUUGAUUCUCAGAACCCUACGAUAAUUGUACGCGGUGUCUGAAAUCAUCAUUCUUAUACGGUGGGUCACACCACCACCAAAAAUUGAAAUUUCUCAAUUAUUCAUAUUUUUCAACUUUGCAUUGUCUUCACUGUUUCCGUUGUUUUUCUUCAUUGGCUAUAUAUAUGAGUUUAUAUCCUCUACAAUAUUCACUUAUUGCUAAUUCUUCAAGUUGGGUUUUUCUGCUAGGUGAAUGUGAUCGGACCCUUCCCCCUCUAUUCUAUACUCAACCCAAUCUAUUCACAAAUUCUUCAUGUGCGUUCUAUUUGAAACUCGUUCAAAAUCUUCACUGUGUCCUUGGCAGUGGAAGAAAUUGCGAACGGAACUUUAAAACCUAUCUUAUCUAAAUUUUCGGCUUUGCCGCUCAAACCGUUCCGCAUCCCAUGAUAUACUUAUCCACUCACCCACGAUCUAACACGAUCUCCACUUCUCACUGCGUGGGUGACACAUGUCAUGCGAAUGAGAAGGGUCAGGGGCACGUUCGUCCAAUUUCUUCGGGCGAGCAGUUUUUCACCGUGGCUAUAAAUACCCCUCCAUCCCUUUCUCACUUCUUUUACUCCGCUCGAUCUCUCUCUCCAGCUUGAGCUUCUCAAACCCUAGUGCCGCCGCUACUUCAUCGUCGCCGGUGAGGAAGAGCUUCACUGCCUCGACCUCGUCGCCGACGUACUCGUGCCGACCGCGGAAAUCUUCACUCCGCUGCCGCCGUAGCCACCAUCCUCCGCCGAGUUAGGGCGUGGAAGAUCUACACAGACGAACUUCACCUCUCCUCUUCACUGUUCGUCGUGUUCUUCAUCCAGGGUAAUUAAAAGUCACUUUUACUGCCCUCGUUGAUUCGAAUGAUUAUCUACAAAAUCUUCAAAGGUGUUUUUUUCUUCAUAUCUUCACACACUAAACACCUCACAAGUCAUAUGUUCUUGAUUCGUUUCUCCAAGCAUCAUUUUCUUCAAGAUUCCUCAAUUGUGUGGAUCUUCGAUCUAUACAACUCUGGAACCUAAGACAAAGAACGCUUAGUGAAAUUCUUCAAGACUCAUCUGGUCAAAUUCCUCAAACUUGUUCUUUUUUUAAAAACCCUCUGAGAACGCAUAUGACUUCUCCAAAUUCCUCGCAACUAUACUCUAUUCACAGGUACUCAUGUGAGCUGCUGAAUCACUAGGUUCUCAUCAACUUAACUCAUUUGCAGCGUACCUCGAAGAAAAGUUGCAUACUUCUUCAGAGAAUUCGAUUGUUCAAAUUCCUCAACUGAAGAAAAUGGUUGAUGGUAAAAGGCCACAGAAAGGAGAAAAGAAGCCUGAGGUUAUGACUGCCUUUGAAAUCCCUGAGGACAUAUACAAAGAUUACUGCACUCCUGAUGAGGCCAAGUUUGGAAAAUAGGACAAAAAUCAGCGCAAGGUGCGCAUACAGAGGAUAGAAAGGAGAUGGGCAAGAUAAUGGAGGGAGUACAUGUAUGUAACUCCAAAGUACAUGAAGAAAUUCGCACUCAAUCCUCCAUGCCCAAGAGCUCCAUUGGCACCUGGCCAAAUAGUAGAUCCCACCAGCCUCAAGCGCGGUGAGGACUAUCCCGACGAAUGGGCCAAGCGCCAAGCCAAGUUGGCUAAGUGCUACGUCUUGAGCUUGCGUUGGUUUUCCCCGAAGAGGAAGGGAUGAUGCAGCAGAGUAGCGUAAGUAUUUCCCUCAGUUUUUGAGAACCAAGGUAUCAAUCGAGUAGGAGGCCAUGCUCAAGUACCUCGUACCUGCACAAAGCGAUAGCUACUCGCAACCAACGCGAUUAGGGGUUGUCAAUCCCUUCACGGUCACUUACGAGAGUGAGAUCUGGUAGAUAUAAUACUUUUGGUAUUUUUGGUAUAAAGAUGCAAAGUAAAAAGUAAAAGCAAAGUAAAAAGCAAAGCAAGAUUAAAGUGAUGGAGAUUGAUAUGAUGAGAAUAGACCUGGGGGCCAUAGGUUUCACUAGUGGCUUCUCUCAAGAGCAUAAGUAUUCUACGGUGGGUGAACAAAUUACUGUUGAGCAAUUGACAGAAUUGAGCAUAGUUAUGAGAAUAUCUAGGCAUGAUCAUGUAUAUAGGCAUCGCGUCCGUGACAAGUAGAUCGAAACGAUUCUUCAUCUACUACUAUUACUCCACUCAUCGACCGCUAUCCGGCAUGCAUCUAGAGUAUUGAGUUAAAAACAGAGUAACGCCUUAAGCAAGAUGACACGAUGUAGAGAGAUAAAUUCAUGCAAUAUGAAAUCAACCCCAUCUUGUUAUCCUCGAUGGCAACGCUACAAUACGUGCCUUGCUGCCCCUUCUAUCACUGGGUAAGGACACCGCAAGAUCGAACCCAAAGCUAAGCACUUCUCCCAUGGAAAGAACUACCAAUCUAGUUGGCCAAACCAAACAGAUAAUUCGAAGAGAGUUGCAAAGAUAACCAAUCAUACAUAAAAGAAUUCAGAGAAGAUUCAAAUAUUAUUCAUACAUAGACUUGAUCAUAAACCCACAAUUCAUCGGUCUCAACAAACACACCGCAAAAAGAAGAUUACAUCGAAUAGAUCUCCACAAGAGAGGGGGAGAACUUUGUAUUAAGAUCCAAAAAGAGAGAAGAAGCCAUCUAGCUACUAACUAUGGACCCGAAGGUCUGAGGUAAACUACUCACACUUCAUCGGAGAGGCUAUGAUGAUGUAGAAGCCCUCCGUGAUGACGGCCCUCUUCCGACGGAGCUCCGGAACAGGCCCCAAGAUGGGAUCUCGUGGAUACAGAAAGUUGCGGCGGUGGAAUUAGGUUUUGGCUCCUGUUUUGAUCGUUUGGGGGUACGUGUGUAUAUAUAGGAGGAAGAAGUACGCCGGAGGAGCAACGAGGGGCCCACGAGGCAGGGGGGCGCGCCCUAGGGGGGGCGCCCCCACCCUCGUGACCGCCUCUUUUGUUCCUUGGAGCAGGGUCCAAGUCUCCUGGAUCAUGUUCAGUGAGAAAAUCACGUUCCCAAAGAUUUUAUUCCGUUUGGACUCCGUUUGAUAUUCCGUUUCUUCGAAACACUGAAAUAGGCAAAAAAACAGCAAUUCUGGGCUGGGCCUCCGGUUAAUAGGUUAGUCCGAAAAAUAAUAUAAAAGUGGAAAAUAAAGCCGAAUAUAGUCCAAAACAGUAGAUAAUAUAGCAUGGAGCAAUGAAAAAUUAUAGAUACGUUGGAGACGUAUCAGGCAUCCCCAAGCUUAAUUCCUGGUCGUCCUCGAGUAGGUAAAUGAUAAAAAGAGUAUUUUUGAUGCGGAGUGCUACUUGGCAUAAUUUCAAUGCAAAUCUUCUUAAUUGUGGUAUGGAUAUUCAGAUUAGAGAGAUUCAAGACAAAAGUUUAUAUUGACACAAAAAUAAUAAUACUUCAAGCAUACUAACAAAGCAAUCAUGUCUUCUCAAAAUAACAUGGCCAAAAAAAGUUAUCCCUACAAAAUCAUAUAGUCUGGCUAUACUCUAUCUUCACCACACAAAGUAUUUAAAUCAUGCACAACCCCGAUGACAAGCCAAGCAAUUGUUUCAUACUCUAACUUUUUCAAAACUUUUUCAAUCUUCACGCAAUACAUGAGCGUGAGCCAUGGAUAUAGCACUAUAGGUGGAAUAGAAGGGUGGUUGUGGAGAAGACAAAAAGGAGGAGGAGAUAGUCUCACAUCAACUAGGCGUAUCAACAUGCUAUGGAGAUGCCCAUCAAUAGAUAUCAAUGUGAGUGAGUAGGGAUUGCCAUGCAAUGGAUGCACUAGAGCUAUAAGUAUAUGAAAGCUCAAAAAGAAACUAAGUGGGUGUGCAUCCAACUUGCUUGCUCAUGAAGACCCAGGGCAAUUUGAGGAAGCCCAUCAUUGGAAUAUACAAGCCAAGUUCUAUAUGAAAAUACUACAUGUCUUACAAGUAGAAGAAAAAAGGGACAUGAAAGAGAAUUGUGAGUUGAGAACAUCCUUUGAAGCUUCAGCCCCGAGCAACAUCACAAAGAUGGCGUUCCACAUGGUAAAGCAGGGGGCGCGUUCUGAAGAUGAUGUGUGUCGUUGUGAGGAGUGAGAGGCGGGGAAGGAGCUAGCACCAUUUGUGAGGAGGUAUUUGUUAGCAAUGAUCACAAACUAGAAUGUGGCUUAGCCAGGGACGAAGCCAAGGCAGGGGGGAUACAUACCACUAAAAUUUAGACGGGCCCAAGUAGGAAUUGUUUCUUUUUUACAUAUAUGAUUGAAGGGUAUAUGUAAAAAAAUCAAUCUUAGUGGGCACAAUGACCACGCGCUAAAUGGCACCCUCUCAAAAUGAACCACUCAUUGAUCGACCAUGACUAUUUUUUAGGGACCGAUACCUGGUUUUCUCGAUGGAAUCCUACAUAGGCGGUCUAGGGUUUUUACUACGGCACAACAAUGGACAUCAUGCAUUCUUCUCGAUGGAAAUCUAGAUCUAGUGGUCUUCCUUUUACUUUAAAGAUCAGUGUGUCCAUCGAGCGGCACACAUAUGGAGACUAGUGAGUUAAUUGGCUUCUUGCGAUGGAGAGAGGCUUAAUGAACCUAUGGGCUAUAAUUUUUCCUAUGGAAUAUGCAAGUCGUGGCUGGAGCCCAAGGGAAGACAAGAUAUUAGAAUGCUCUAGGAGGGUAAGACCAUAAAGUCCAACAGCCAAAAGCGCACAGCUUGUAAGAGGGUUAGGACGGUGCUCAAUAUUGAUGUCAUCAAAAUAUAUGUGCAAAAUACCAAACCAGCCCACAGGUUUUGCAAAAUCUAGGGGUGGCUUCUCUACCCAACUAGAAACUGAAAUUACAAACACUUCCGUCUAGAAGUGAAAUUACGAUAUACCAACAUCGGAUAUGGCUGCACUAUAUGGAAGCUUCCUAGUGUUUUUUCCUUGCGAAAAGGGAAGCUUCCUAGUUGAGACCAAACCAUAUAAAGUAGGUUGCAAUGCUUACAUAGGCUCAGCCUUGACGAUCCUGGAACAACCAACGUCAGAUUUGACAAAACCUUUUGUUGUCUCCUUUUCUUUUCCUCGAUCCUUUUUGUUUUUGUUCCUUUUCCUAUCUGGAUUAAUAGUUAGGGCGCUGUGAUUGCAAAUAUUGUUAUAGGGCAUAAAUAGGAUGGCACCUGCACUGCACAUACCGGCAUCUUUCCACCAAGUAAAACCAAGUAAAAGGGAAAUGUUUCUUAGAAAAGCUUACAGUCUCCCCACCGAUGACACUAAUAUAGAUUAAUAAAGACCACAUAGUACUAGAUAAACAGAUACUCUAAGUACUAGUACAUUGAUAGAUGGUGCUGCGGCGGUGCGGCCCACCUACUCAGCAGUCCCAAGCCGCUACACAUACAUAAAUACACAGUGCAUCUAGAGUGUCCAUAGUCCAUACACAAAUACAGAAACGGCAGCCACAACCCACAACAUGCACAACGGAUCGAGCUCGCAAGUGUUCAUCAUGCCCGCUGCCGGCCAUGUCCACUACCUUGUCGCGGGAGGCUCCGGAGGAGGCGACGAGCCCAGGUACCCCUGGACCUUCAAGUCCCUGCACGAGGUGGACGCCGUCGUCCCUGCCAUCGCCCGUGGCAGCAAGAGGCCGGCCGCCGUCCCCGGUGGAGCACAGGUAGAGCCCUACGGGUGCCCCAUCUGCUUCCGCGUGUUUGCCACUGCCAAGGCCGUCCAUGGCCACAUGCGCAGCCACACGGACCGCACCUGGCGCGGCAUGGAGCCGCCCCGGCCGCCGCCCCUGGGCGAGAUCCGUUACCCGUACGUGUGCGACCGCUGCAAGAUGCCGUUCCAGACGCGGCAGGCGCUCGGCGGCCACCGCGCCAGCCACAAUGGUAAGAAAGGCUGCUCCUGGCUCGAAAGAGAGGAGCUCGCCGCCGCCGAAGAAGCUCGGAAGCCCGUCGUGUUCGGCGUUGAUCUGAACCUUCCGGCUCCCGAGGCAGAUCAGGAACAGGGGGAGGAGUAGUAGGAGUGAUCAACAGAUCGAUCGAGCAGCUUGCUAGUGUUCUCAGUUGACAGUUGCUGGAGCUGUGCUUGCGUGUGCUAUAUUUGGUGUUUAGCUUCUCCGAUAUUAUAUUCUGCCUUCCUUCUCUUUGACUUUGUGUUUCGAGACUUGGGUUGCAAAUAGCUCUCGAUCGAUCGAUCCCCGCUUAAUAGAUAAAUAAAUGAAGAGUGCAAUUAAGCUGCUAUAUAUAUGUGUGUGUGUCAGAUUGUGUUUGAUACUUUGAUGCAGCUAGAACUAAUUUUUCAGGUUAUUUCAUGUGAUUCUUUGUUUCUUUAGCUGAUUUGGUGCUGUUUUACUUGAAAUUAGCCGGUCUACCAUUAGAUCUAUAGGUUAACGACCUUGUGUCCAGCUCCAGCAAUUCUGUAUGGUGAAUUAAAUUAUUUAUUAAUGAGUUGCAUUAAUCCAUAGCUAGCUUGAUUUUGCACGCAUAUAUCUUAUUUCUCAACAGUUCCAAAGAGAAUCACAUGAGUUUUUUUCCAGGUGUUGUGCCUAUUUUAUUUUAUAUAGAGAUAGGAAAAGGAGGAAAAGGGUCACAAUGUAUAUGCAUGAGAUUAAUGGAUGAUAAACGGGUCGAUCCAGUCCUAGUAUGAUAUACUCUCAUUAAUUGCACUGUGAUUUCCAAAUCUUUUCUUCCUUAGCAGAAAGAAAAAGUGGCUUUGCAAAAAAGAACAGAAUUAGUUUGAGUAUUUAUGUCUUUUAGUGAAACAUGAAGUGUGCCGUGUGCAUUACAUACCAUUUCCCAAGUUAACGAUGCUGCAUCACAUGUAUAUAUCGGAGAUAUGUAUAUUGGCAUCAUUGGAGUAAUUAAUGCAUUCUAUCUGGACUCUUUAUGCUAUAAUAGUGUCCUUGUUUCUAUAUAGGAAAUGAGAAGGACAAUGGGGCCAAAAAAUAUUUUUGAAACAAAAAAAAUCCAUAUUUUCAUGAAACAAAACCAUGUUUGCCAAACACAUUGUUACUCAAAACCAAUGUUUCAGUUUCACCUGCAUGGAUAUACAUUUAUAAUGUAGCGCACAACAUAGCAUCAGACACAAACAUAACUGUCCGAAUCCGAGUCGGAUUCGGAUGUCUAUUUCGGACAUCAGAGAUUUCCGCAUAUUAGAAGACAAUUGGACUUGGAUAUGUGUGUUGAAUCCAUCGCAGUCCGAGAGAUUGGGUAUGACUGAGUUUGACAUGACAAUUGUAAGUCGGACAUGGAUACAACUGUAAACAUCAGACUUAAUGAUAUUGCUUCACAAUGUAUAUAUAUGUGGGGGAUAUAUUAGCAUCACUAGAGUAAUUAAUGCACUCUAUUUUGACUUUAUAUAUGUUAUAGGAGUCUCAUUGUUUCUAUAUAGGAAAUCAGAAGAACAAAGGGGCCAAGAAAUAUUUUUGAAACAAAAAAAAAUCAUAUUUUCAUGAAACAAAACCAUGUAUGCCGAAUACAAUGUUACUCAAAACCAAUGUUACAUUUUCAGCUGCAUGGAUAUACAUUUAUAGUGCUAGUGCAUUGCACAACAUCAGACACAAACACAACUGUCCGAAUCGGACUCGGAUUCGGAUGUCUAAUUCGACCAUUAGAGAUCUCCGCGUAGCCGAAGACAAUCUGACAUGGAUAUGUGUGUUAAAUCUGUGGCAAUCCUAGAGGAUUGGGUAUGACUGAAAGGUUGACGUGACAAUUAUCAGUCUCACAUGGAUACAAGUGUAACCACCGGACUUAUAUUUAUUUGAUCAUCCGACUUAAUGUUUUUUUAGGGAAGAACCUACCUCAUAAAGCAUCUAUUGGUUAUAUAUAAAUUUAUCCCAUAUAGUUUUUUUGUAAUAAUUACCCAAGAAAAAUUAAGAAUUAUGUCACACUUGCAACUUAAAACAACACAAAAUAAAUAGUUGCUAGCUAUUACAGAAUACUGGUACAGAAAUGCUAGUUAGAGAAUACCCAUGUAACCGUCAACUACCAUUUCCUACACACUAAUCACGUCUAUAGCUAUAUAGUCCUAGUACCACCGAGUUGUGUCAAGCAUCGGGUGCCUUGCAUGGAUAUAAAAACAUAAACCACAGCCCAUGAUGAGGAGGAGGUCAACAUCACAGGCCUUCAUAGGUCCCUUGGAAACGUAAUUAGCUCGAUAAUUGCCAAAUAAAAGAGUGCAAGUUUUAGCAAAAAUGCCAAAUGAAGGCUUUAAUUUUGAAAAUUCAAAUUCAUACUUUGACUUUUCAAAAACUAUUUGAAAAUAGACAUAUAACAAAAGAGACAUUGUACAUGUGUGCAAAUUUUCCUGAUGAAAUAGGUUAAAAUGAGAGCUAAAUGAAAAACAAAUUUGUGGCUUUUCAGCACACGUAUUGUUCCUCCCCAUAAUCCAAUAUUUGUUUUGUGCAACUCACAAUUCAAGAUAUCUCAUCCCAAAAUUUUGCACAUGUAUACAUUACAUCCUUGUGUCCCUGGCCAUAUGUAAAUACAUGUCCAAUGCAAUGAUACCCAGACUAGUGCAACAUUCAUGCAGGAUUCCACAUUUUACAUGCCCAUGUUGAUGAGGGCCCAAUAUUAUAUAAGAUCACAUUGAAUAACCUAUAAGUGCACUAUUGUAAUAUUCCUAGUUUUGUUGAGAAUACAUCAACCCAUUAAAAAAAGAAGUACAAAAAUAUUCUGCAAUGAAAAAGAUUGUGUGCAUCAAUUGAUGCAGUAGCUGAGGGUGUACCUGCCUUUUCAAAAAGGAAAUACCAAAUGGGGGCAGAUUCUGUAUUAGGAAUCAAAUUUCAAUUCAUGUACCGUACCCGGAGUGUUACAAUUUUUUAUGUUUCCAAAAUAGUAUUUCUAGAAUGGCACCUAAAUCCAAAAAGGACCGCAACACUUGAAUGUGUCUCGAUACAAUAUAAUCUUCGUAUUUUUUUAAGGAUGUGUUUCUUCAUAGUGAUGUCAUUCAAAAGACACUGACACGUGCCACGGGGAGGAUGUGGUGAGACUGGGCACUCGGCACCGUAAGAAAAAUAGCCUAUUUGACAAUUGGACUAUUAUCUCGCUAGGCUCGACUCCCUCACAUUUAGUGAANNNNNNNNNNNNNNNNNNNNNNNNNNNNNNNNNNNNNNNNNNNNNNNNNNNNNNNNNNNNNNNNNNNNNNNNNNNNNNNNNNNNNNNNNNNNNNNNNNNNNNNNNNNNNNNNNNNNNNNNNNNNNNNNNNNNNNNNNNNNNNNNNNNNNNNNNNNNNNNNNNNNNNNNNNNNNNNNNNNNNNNNNNNNNNNNNNNNNNNNNNNNNNNNNNNNAAUCCUUGCACCUUGCCAGCAUACCAUUGGUGUUGAAGUUGUGUCGAAAGAUACAUGCCCUAAAGAUGGCAUUCAGACAUGUUGGACGAUGAACCAAAGACCAAGGUCGUUUUGCAAUAAAGCAUUAAAUACAUCAAGCAUUACAUGAUACUAUUUCAGAUCCUGGAAUGCUACUUUAUAAGAAGUAAUAGACGAAAUGGCUGAAAAAAUAUAAAUUGAAUUUUUCUGUUUGGCAUAAAAUAGCCCGAUAUUUCCCAUAGGUACUGUUCAUCUCAUGUGCAUUUUGUGCUGUAUCUACUAGGAUGGAAUUGAGUGCGAAACCGGGCUCAGGUGGCACGUACGGAGAAGAUGGCAUAGAUCGAUGGGAAGAUGCGGUCAAAGACACAAAAGACAAAACGAGUUGGUGUGGUGCUGGAGCCGAGGGUGAUGUUGCCGAGUGGGAAACAUGUGAUGUUCGACGCGUUUGGAGGGGAGUAGCGCAUGCAUGUUAGAGUUAAACGCAAUCCUAGAGUGGACGUGGGUGUCAUACAAAAGGGUACGAGGUAGGUCGCGGUCGGAGCUCGAAGUAGACCAGAUGAAAGGGCUCAAGAGGAAUGGGAUUCGCUGCCGGAGGCCUGUGUGUAGGCUAUUGUGUGGUAUAAACAUAUAAACAAUGUCAAUAAACAAUUUAUAUGGGAGGACACUAACUUUUUGAGUUUGAAGACCAAGACACCGAUACCCUUGUCCAUGAUAUCGCUAGUGGACCGAAUGAGACGCCCGACUUUGCCAUUUUGAAGGGAGGUGCGGGGCACACAAUGCAAAGAACUUAGACAUGGAGACCUCCAGGUCGUAGUCGUGGAAUUUUCGUCCAAAAGAACUCGUCUUGGUUACAUACAUAAAAUAAAAUAUUAUACACAUAUAUAUUUCUCAUGUUCUUGUGUGUGAGAAUAUUUCACGAUUUUUAAAAAAUUGUGCAUGUAUAGAAAAAAUGAGAAGGAAACAAAGAAGCAAAUGAAAAAAGAAAGGAAAAAGAAAACCAAACUUUAAUACCUUGAUAAAUAGAGAAUAAAAUUAAAUAAUAUUGAAUAAUAGAACCAUAAAACGUAAAAACCAUAGGAGAAAUAAAAGAAAAAGGGGAUCAUAUAUAAUGAAAAUGAAAAAAAUUAAAAAAAGAAUGGAAGAAAAGAGAACUAUUGUUACUGGGGCCCUGCUUAUACUAGAGGAGACGUCCCACGUCCGUCAAACAGCUACACCUUCACGCUAGUGCGAAACGUCUGGGCGGUCCAUGUAGCAACACUGUAGCUUUCGAUACACUUUAACUCUCCGGUUUUAAUUAGGGUUUUCCAAACAAUUUCUUAAAAUAUUAAUCUUCUUCCAAAAAACAAACAAUUUUCCAAAAAUGUAAACAUUUUUUGUAAUUUGAACAACUCCCAAAAGUAUCUACAAUUUUCUGAAAAUAUUUUAAACCUUUUUAAAAAUUAUUAUAUUUUAAAAAAAUAGUGUAUAUUAAAAAAGGUUCACCGUAUAUUGAAAAGAAAUCGACCAUAUACAAAAAAUUUGAUCAGUGUCUAUUCGAAAAUGUUCAUUAUAUCUCUAAAAAUGUUGAUCUUAUAUUAAUUUUUCAAUGUAUAUUACAUAAAUGUUAAGUGUAUAUUCAAAAAAUGUUCAUCAUAUAUUAAUGAUUCUUUUGUCAUGUAUGAAAUAUAUUGUUCCCAUGUAUUAAAAAUGUUGAAAAAUUAAAUAUUCACUGUUUUAUUUUGAAAAAAAUAUUUAACAUAUGUUGCAAAAAAAGUAUGAAAAUAAACAUAAAACCAAAAGAAAAACCAAAUCUCAAAAAUGAAAUAGAAAAAAUAAAAAGAACAAGAAAACUGAAACAAAAACCACACAUAAAAGAACAAAAAAAUACAGCCGAAAAACGACAGAAGAAAAAGGCAUUUCCGAUUGGAGGCUCGGCCAUUAGAAUCCACCAGGACAUCAAUAUCACGAAAUCUGACAGCCGAAAGCGCACAGGUCAAGAGAGGGUUAGGAGAGUGCUCAGUAUUGAUGUCCAUAAAAUAUAUUUGCAAAAUGCGAAACUAGCCCAUGGUUUUCGCAAAAUCAGGGGUGGAUUCUGUCCUCAAUAAGAAACUGAAAUUAUAGAGUUUUGUUUCCAUCUGAAAUUAUGAAGAACUGUACUGUGCUAAUUUUUUAGCCAAAUCUAUUUUCCUUUAUUUUUCUUUCACUUCAGAUGUUAGGGAUAUACCACCAUCAGAUAAGAUUAGGCUCACCCUUGACUAUCCUGGAAGAACCAACGUCAGAUUUAACAAAACCUUUUUGUUGUAUCCUUCCCUUCCUUGAUUAUUUUUUUGUUCCUUUUCCUAUCUUCAUUAAUUGUUAGGGCGCUGAGGUAGCCAAUACUGCUGCCUGGUUAUAUUGAAAGCUAGCGGUGCGGGUUCUCUUGAGAAAAAAAAUGGGAUCGGCUUUGUUGUACUUGAACUAAUUUUGCAGGUUUGAUUUUAGCCAAAUCUUUAUAAGUAUUACUUGUUGUCAACCCGUGCACUUGCACGGGCUAGUAUUUUUUUACAUAUUUACACAAACAAUCACAAAGCAAGUAUUAUAAAUUGGAAGUGAAAAUAUGUGCGAAUUAUAUUGGAGAAACUUUCAUGCAUGUUUAUUAUUUUGAACAAUGUGAUUCUUGCUCAAACAUAGGACUAAAAGGAAGUGUGUUCCUUCUAAUAGUUCCUUAUUCACAUUUUUUCUUAAAUUAGUGUCACAUUGAAUUGUAUGUUUACACAGGACGUACUAUUAUUACUAUAACAUAUUUCAAAAUAUACCUUUUUUCAUCGACAACAAAUCUCACACCUUCUCCAGACAACAAAAUNNNNNNNNNNNNNNNNNNNNNNNNNNNNNNNNNNNNNNNNNNNNNNNNNNNNNNNNNNNNNNNNNNNNNNNNNNNNNNNNNNNNNNNNNNNNNNNNNNNNNNNNNNNNNNNNNNNNNNNNNNNNNNNNNNNNNNNNNNNNNNNNNNNNNNNNNNNNNNNNNNNNNNNNNNNNNNNNNNNNNNNNNNNNNNNNNNNNNNNNNNNNNNNNNNNNNNNNNNNNNNNNNNNNNNNNUAUAUAUGGAGUUCAUAGAUACAUUAGCUCCCCGUUUUGAGCUAGAGACAUUAACAUUUUGUUCCCCAAAACAUGAUUCCUGCUCGCAUGUUGCUUCAUGUGGUUUCUGCAACCUUUCUAAGCAAAUGAUACAACAUCUUUUCUCGGGCUUUUCUGUCAUCGCCAUCACUUGGAGCUCGGUGCUUCAAUGGGCUAAUCUUAGCAAGGUCGUCCCCCAACAUGUUGUUCUGCACAGGGUCUGGUACUCUGGUGGCGGGAGGCAGGGAGACGGUUCAGGCCUCUAAGGAAAGUGCUCUAAACUCCCUUGUGCCACUGGUAGUUUGAAGAAUAUGGCGGGGGGAAUGGAAGGGUUUUUGAUGACUCUGCAUAUGCCGCUGCCACUACAAAGGAUCAUCAACCAAUUAAAAACUGAAGCUUGUUAAUGGGCUGUAACACCCCGGAUAUGAUUACCCAAUAUGUAAUCCAACUCUUGCCGUUUCCGGCGUUAAGUUAUUUUAUUUUUUCGGGUUCGGGUUUUUGUCUCCAUGUGUUGUUAUCGUUGUCAUGCAUCUUAUAUCAUAUCAUCAUGUGCAUUGCAUUUGCAUACAUGUUCAUCUCAUGCAUUCGAGCAUUUUCCCCGUUGUCCGUUUUGCAUUCCGGCGCUUCGUUCUCCUCCGGUGGUCAUUUCUACCUUUCUUUCGUGUGUGGGGUUUAAACAUUUCUGGAUUGAACCGAGACUUGCAAAGCGGCCUUGGUUUACUACCGGUAGACCGCCUGUCAAGUUUUGUACCAUUUGGACUUCGUUUGAUGCUCCAAUGGUUAACCGAGGGACCGAAAAGGCCUCGUGUGUGUUGCAGCCCAACACCCCUCCAAGUUGGACCAAAACUCACCAAAACCCUCUCCAUCAUCUAGAGCGUUCAAUCACGAUCGCGUGGCCGAAAACCGCACCUUAUUUGGACUCUCCUAGCUCCCUCUAUGCCUAUAUAUACACCUCCCCCUCCAAAAAUUCGCGGUGCAAACCUACCCUAACUCUCCCCGCCGCCGCCGGACAUCUUCGCCACCGACGGACACGUCUGGAUCCGCCGGCCUGCGCCAAUCAACGUCCGCGAUGUGGCGCCGCGCCCACAUCGCCUGUCCCCGCCGCCGCGCGGGCCGGGAGCCCGGAGCCGGCCCCCGCGGCCCGCUCCCUCGCGCCGCCNNNNNNNNNNNNNNNNNNNNNNNNNNNNNNNNNNNNNNNNNNNNNNNNNNNNNNNNNNNNNNNNNNNNNNNNNNNNNNNNNNNNNNNNNNNNNNNNNNNNNNNNNNNNNNNNNNNNNNNNNNNNNNNNNNNNNNNNNNNNNNNNNNNNNNNNNNNNNNNNNNNNNNNNNNNNNNNNNNNNNNNNNNNNNNNNNNNNNNNNNNNNNNNNNNNNNNNNNNNNNNNNNNNNNNNNNNNNNNNNNNNNNNNNNNNNNNNNNNNNNNNNNNNNNNNNNNNNNNNNNNNNNNNNNNNNNNNNNNNNNNNNNNNNNNNNNNNNNNNNNNNNNNNNNNNNNNNNNNNNNNNNNNNNNNNNNNNNNNNNNNNNNNNNNNNNNNNNNNNNNNNNNNNNNNNNNNNNNNNNNNNNNNNNNNNNNNNNNNNNNNNNNNNNNNNNNNNNNNNNNNNNNNNNNNNNNNNNNNNNNNNNNNNNNNNNNNNNNNNNNNNNNNNNNNNNNNNNNNNNNNNNNNNNNNNNNNNNNNNNNNNNNNNNNNNNNNNNNNNNNNNNNNNNNNNNNNNNNNNNNGCCGGACCGCGCCACCGUGCCUCCUCGUCCCCGGCCGAGUCGCGCCGCUCGCCGCCCGAGCCGCCCGCCAUCACCGCCCGGAUCCGGUGUCUUCUCUCUCCGGCGACCGCGGCAAGUCCGGCCACCGCGUCGUCAAUUUCCGGCGAACCUCGAGACUCGUGCUGCUACAGUGCCCAGAUCUAGAUCCGGUUGAUUUUUUGCCUGAAACCUUAAUUAUUUGGCAUUGUUCAUCGCAUCGUACCUCCACAUCCGUAGCCCCGUUUUGGGCAUAUAGCAUAUCAAAAUGUUCGUCUCAGAGAGCACAUCAUUUCAUGCCAUUGCAUCAUUUUCAUUUAAGUUCAUCUUGAUGCCCGAAAUGCUUUUGGAAGAGUGCUAUUUGAGAUAAUUGUCAGAUCUGCUGCUCCAAUUAGAUAUUUGUCAUUUUGCCAUGAUUAUUAUGUGCAUGAUAUGCCCCUGAGCUCUUUAUGAGUUUUGUUAUAUGUUUUGCCAUCUAUCCAGAGGUGCAAUCCAUGUAUUUUUGUGAUGUGUGUGGUGACUAGCACAAGCUUGCAAAAUGGAGCAUUCAUUAAUGCUGAUUUCAGGGACUUAGCAUUUCCACUAAGUCCUUGAACUGUUUAUCUCAGUAUGCCAUAUGUUCAUGUUGUUUCCUAGUGAUCCGUGCCUCUUUUGAGGAUGAUCAGUAAGGAUGUUUUGUUAAUCUUGUAGUGCUCUAUCCAUCCGUGUCUUUGUUUGCAAUUAUGGAGCAUCCUAGCUUGAGUCAAUCGAGCUCUACUUUUGUCAUUUCGUGAAUCUGGGCAGAUUGUCUACUUGUUAGCGAUUUUGCCGAGGAUGUUGUAGUUGAUCCGUGCAUGCUAUGUUAUUGUUCUUGGCAUGUCUAGCUUGUAUUUUGUGUGUUCUUGAUGGGUGUAUGCUUAGUUUGUCAUGAGUUGCUCUGUAGUGAGUGCAUCGAGCUCGUAAACAUGCCUACUUGAUAUCUGUUUCAGCAUGCUCCAGAUUUCACUAAGUCUGAGAACUGAUUAUGUUUUUGCCAUGUUCACAUGCUUGCAAAUGUAUUUUAUGAUCCCUUUUGGCUCAAGACCACUAAGGGACUUUUGUUAAGCUCCUUGAGUAUCUCCAUGCCAUGCUUUACUUUGCCAUGUUCAGCUCCUGUAGCAUAUAAUUUUCAUGCUCCAAAGAGUGCUAUCUGAUCUGAAAUUCUAGACAAGUGUUAAUUUCACCAAGUCCGAAAUCUGUUUGCCAAAUGCAUUUUUGCGAUGCUUCUUUGAACCUGUUAAUGGAUGAAUUGGCCGUAGCUCAGUGUUCCUCUUUUGUUAAGCAUCAUGAAUGGAUCCCUGCCAUGUAUUUUGAUGCCAUGUUUGGGUGCUGUAGCAUGUUCAUCUUGUUGCAUUUAGAUGGCUACUUGCUGUAAAUCACAGAACGUGGUCAUAUUUGAAUUGCUUGCCAUUUCCAAACCGUAACUCCGAUUCCGGCGUUCUUUAUAUCGUUUUCAAGCGAUUUCAUCUCACCUUUCCAGUGGCAGACUUGGAUUUCAAAGUUGUGGCCAGGUUCAUGCAUUCCUUGUCAAAUCUUGCAUAUGCAUAGCAUAUCGCAUCCCGCAUAGCAUACCAUCUUUGCGUCAUAUUGUUUGAGCUUUGCACAUGGUUGAUUGCGUUCCGUUUGCUUGUUUGUCUUGAUUGGGUAGAGCCGGGAGACGAGUUCUCUAACGAGGAGCCCAUUGAGUUGGCUUUCGAGGAUCCAGUCAACUCUGACAACUUUGCAGCCAAGAUGAUCAUACCCUCGAAAUCACUACUAUCUUUGCUUUGCUAGAUGCUCACUCUUUUGCUAUGCCUAUGCUACGAUGCCUACCACUUGCUUAUAAUGCCUCCCAAAUUGCCAUGUCAAACCUCUAACCCACCAUGUCCUAGCAGACCGUUGAUUGGCUAUGUUACCGCUUUGCUCAGCCCCUCUUAUAGCGUUGCUAGUUGCAGGUGAAGAUUGGAGACCGUUCCUUGUUGGAACAUUAUUUACUUGUUGGGAUAUCAUUAUAUUGCCUUGUUAUCUUAAUGCAUCUAUAUACUUGGUAAAGGGUGGAAGGCUCGGCCUCUCGCCUAGUGUUUUGUUCCACUCUUGCCGCCCUAGUUUCCGUCAUAUCGGUGUUAUGUACCCGGGUUUUUGCGUUCCUUACGUGGUUGGGUGAUAAAGGGAACCCCGUGAUAGUUCGCCUUGAUUAAAGCUUUUCCAGCAAUGCCCAACCUUGGUUUUACCAUUUGCCACCUAGCCUCUUUUUCCCUUGGGUUUCCGGAGCCCGAGGGUCAUCCUAUUUUAAACCCCCCCCCGGGCCAGUGCUCCUCUAAGUGUUGGUCCACCUCGUCAGCCGCUGGUGUCCACCAGGGGCAACUCUGGGCUGGCCUACCGGAAGUUUAGUUAAUCUGAGUGUGCCCUGAGAACGAGAUAUGUGCAGCUCCUAUCAGGAUUUGUCGGUACAUUUGGGCGGUGUUGCUGGAUUGGUUUUAACUUGUCAAAGUGUCUUGUAGAACCGGGAUACCGAGUCUAAUCGGAAUGUCUCGGGAGGAGGUCUAUUCCUUCGUUGACCAUGAGAGCUUGUCAUGGGCUAAGUUGGGACUCCCCUGCAGGGAUUUGAACUUUCGAAAGCCGUCCCGCGGUUAUGGGCAGAUGGGAAUUUGUUAAUGUCCGGUUGUAGAUAACUUGAACCUUAACUUAAUUAAAAUGAAUCAACUGUGUGAGUUACCGUGAUGGUCUCUUCUAGGCGGAGUCCAGGAAGUGAACACGGUGUUGGAGUAAUGCUUGCCGCAGGAUGCCCCCUAGUUAUUCGUUCGCGCUUUGCCUUCUCUUCUCGCUCUCUUUUGCGAACAGGUUAGCCACCAUAUAUGCUAGUCGCUUGCUGCAGCUCCACAUAAUUACCUUGCUUUACCUAUAAGCUUAAAUAGUCUUGAUCGCGAGGGUGCGGGAUUGCUGAGUCCCUGUGGCUCACAGAUUACUUCCAAACCAGAUGCAGGGCCUGAUGAUUCCGUUCCAGAUGACGCGCUUGAGCUCAAGUGGGAGUUCGACGAGGACUCACGUCGUUACUAUGUGUCUUUCCAUGAUGAUCAGUAGUGGUGCCCAGUUGGGGGUGAUCGGGACCGUGUCGCAUGUUGGGUUUAUCUUUUAUUUUGGCGCCGUAGUCGGGCCAUGAGUGUUUGAUUGUUGUAAUGCUAUUUAUGUACUUUGUUUGACGUGGCGAGUGUAAGCCAACUAUGUAUCUCCCCUUUUAUUAUCUAUAUUACAUGGGAUGUUGUGAAGAUUGCCUAACUUGCGACAUUGCUUUCAAUGCGGUUAUGCCUCUAAGUCAUGCCUCGACACGUGGGAGCUAUAGCCGCAUCGAGGGCGUGACAGCUACCGAGCCAAAUUUGGGAGGCAUGAUAAGCAAGUGGCUUCUCAAUUUAUGGAUAUGUGACCAUUUCCAUAAUUUGGGAGACAGUAUUCGUUCUUGAUCCAUACCUUGUUAAUUUAUUUCUCUACCUAAAUUCUAAGUGGCUUCUCAAUUUAUGGAUAUGUGACCAUUUCAAGUGGAAUGCAUUCGUUCUUAUGUUGGGAUGUGAAGACUUUAUGUUGCAAUUUCAACCCGUUUGAUUCAGCUUCAUUUUAUCUGUCAAUGUGCUAACAGUUGUCACCCUCUUCAGGAUGGCUCCCGCUAAGAGCACCAAUCAGAAUCAGAAUCAGGAUCCGCCACCACCUCCUCCUCCUCCGGAGGCAUGGCAAGCUGUGAUGGCCGUAACCAAUGCAAACACAAAGUUGAUCAUGCAAAUUCUUCAAGAGCGCAAUCAAGCGAACCAAGGCAAACAAGGCAACGAUCAGAAUCACUUUGCUACACUCAACCAGUUCCUUGCUAACGGGCCAAAGACUUUCAGCAAUUGUGUUGAGGCAACUUAUGCUGACGAUUGGCUCGUGGAUCUAUGCAAGCAUUUCGAGUGCAGUAAUGCCGGCCUGAGGACUUCGUCAAGUUCGCUUCCUUCCAACUCAAAGAUCAAGCUGCAGAAUGGUUCCAGCAAUACAAGGACUCCAGAGGAGGUCGUGUGAUUACCUGGAUGAAUUCCAUCAAGACUUCAAAGCUCAUCAUAUUCCUCAGAGCGUGGUUGAAAGAAAGUGUGAGGAAUUCUGCAACAUGAAGCAAGGCUCUUUGUCUGUGUAUGACUACAACAAGUUGUUCCAGAAGCUCGCCCGCUUUGCUAAGCAGGACGUCCCUGACGAGAAGAGCAUGAUAUACCAGUUCAGGGUGGUCUCAGAGAAGAAAUCUAGCUAGCUCUUGUUCUCUUUGAGCCCUUGAGAUACGAUGAGUUCUACAACAUGGCAUUGAAGCAAGAGGCCGCUCAACUGAGGUGUGAUGCUUCCAAGAAGCGAGUCAGAGAUGCUACUCCUUCUUCCUCUACUCAAGUGGCCAAGCAGCAGAAGUAUUGGCUUCCUCCUCCUCCGUUCCGUCAGCCGUAUCAGCAGAAGAGCAAAGGUGGCAGUGGAUGUUCCCACCCACCCAACCCUGGCUUUCAGAACAAGACUUCGUCUCAAGCUCCAAGAUCGAGUGCUCCGUAUCACCGUCCGCUUUUAGAGGUCACGUGCAACAAGUGCCAACAUAAGGGUCACUAUGCCAACAAAUGCUUCAAUCAGAGGCGUCUCCCUCCUCCUCUUGUGAGAUCGGCAAGUACAGCUGUGGUCAAGCAUAACCCCAAGUACUCCAAGGUUAACAUGGUGAAUGCAGCUCAGGCAGAGGACUCGUCAGAUGUCAUCAUGGGUAACCUUCCUGUUAACAAUGUUCCUGCAAAAGUUCUUUUUGACACUGGUGCAUCGCAUUGUUUCAUCUCGAGAUCUUUUGCAUCUAAACAUGGGUGGUAUUCUCAAGUUAUGCAUAAACCGUUAGCAGUUGUCUCUCCGAGUAGUUGUUUGCUCGCUAACUACGAGGUUCCGAAUAUUUCUAUCUCGAUGGGUGAUUUCAAGUUUCUGGCUUCUCCAAUGAUCCUUGGUAACUCGGAUAUUGAUCUUAUUCUCGGGAUGGAUUGGCUUUCUAAGCACAAGGCUCAGCUUGAUUGUGCAGCCAGGCAGAUUCAAUUGACUCAUUCGUCUGAGGAUGUAAUUGUCUUUGCCGCUCGGGAUAAUACAAUCCAUCUGUUCUCUCUCAAUAAGAAGGGUGAACUGGAUGCUAUCUCGCAAAUUCCAGUCGUUUGCGAAUAUCAAGACGUCUUUCCAGAAGAGCUUCCAGGAAUGCCUCCGCACCGGCCAGUUGAAUUCGUCAUCGAUCUUGAGCCUGGCACGGAACCUGUGUGCAAGCGUCCUUACAAGCUCGAACCUGAAGAGUUGAAGGAGCUGAAGAAGCAACUCGAUGUUCAAGAGAGAAUGGGUCUCAUCCGGCCUAGUUCUUCUCCGUGGGGUGGUGGUGUUCUUUUUGUGAAGAAGAAGGAUGGAACGGACCGACUUUGUGUUGACUACCGUCCAUUGAACAAGAAGACUAUCAAGAACAAAUACCCACUUGCCAACAUCAACGAGCUAUUCGAACAACUCAAAGGUGCCCAAGUAUUCUCCAAGCUUGAUCUCCGUAUGGGUUAUCACCAGAUUCGAAUCCGUGAGCAAGAUAUUCCCAAGACGGCUUUCAGGACAAGCUUUGGUUCAUAUGAAUAGACUGUCAUGUCUUUUGGCCUCAUCAACGCUCCUCCGACUUUCUCUCGCAUGAUGAACUUCAUCUUCAACGCCUACACCAACGACUUUAUUUUGGUCUAUCUCGACGACAUUCUGGUCUUUUCGAAGUACAAGGAAGAUCAUGCCAAGCACUUGCGUUUGGUGCUCGAUAAGCUCAGGGAACACAAGUUCUACGCCAAGUUCUCCAAGUGCGAAUUUUGCCUCGAUGAGGUUCUUUAUCUUGGUCAUAUCAUCUCUGCCAAGGGCAUUGCGGUGAAUCCUGAGAAGGUGUCUGCAAUUGUGAAUUGGGAACCUCCUCAGAAUGUGAAGCAACUCCGUAGCUUCCUCGGUCUCGCAAGCUACUGUCGAAGAUUCGUUGAAAACUUUUCUAAGAUCGCGAAGCCUCUCUCAAAUCUUCUCCAGAAGCACGUCAAGUACGUUUGGUCUCCGGAGUGUGACAUUGCUUUCAACACUUUGAAAGAGAAAUUGGUCACCGCUCCAGUUCUGACUCCGCCUGAUGAAUCCAAGCCGUACGAGGUCUUUUGCAAUGCCUCUCUCCAAGGUCUUGGUGCAGUGUUGAUGCAAGAAAAGAAAGUUGUGGCUUAUACCUCCCGCCAGUUGAAGCCCAACGAGAAGAACUACCCCACUCAUGAUCUCGAGUUGGCGGCAGUUGUGCAUGCUCUUUUGACUUGGAGACAUCUCUUAUUGGGAAGAAAAGUGGACAUCUUCACUGACCACAAGAGUCUCAAGUAUAUCUUCACGCAGCCUAAUCUCAACCUCAGGCAGACUCGAUGGGUCGAAAUGAUUCAAGAGUAUAAUCCGAGUAUCGAGUAUACUCCAGGAAAGGCCAAUGUGAUUGCUGAAGCAUUGAGCAGGAAGGCUUAUUGCAACAGUCUGAUUCUCAAGCCUUAUCAACCCGAGCUUUGUGAAGCUUUCCGCAAACUUAAUCUGCAAGUUGUUCCUCAAGGUUUCCUCGCGAAACUUAAUCUGGUCUUCCAAGUUGUAUCUCCUACCUUGGAAGACCAGAUUCGCCAAGCUUAGCUUCUUGAUGCUAUGGUGAAGAAGGUAAAAAUUGGGAUUGCCAAGAGUCAACCCAAGUACAAGUGCUACCGCCUCGAUGACAAGGAUACUCUCUUAUUCGAGGAUCGUAUUGUCGUGCCCAAAGGUGACCUUCGUAAAGUGAUCAUGAACGAGGCUCACAAUUCUCUCCUCUCCAUCCACCCUGGGAGCACGAAGAUGUAUCAGGACCAUAGGCAGGCUUAUUGGUGGACUCGAAUGAAGCGUGAAAUUGAUCAGUUAACGAAUGUGAUGUCUGCAGAAGAGUGAAGGCAGAACACCAAAGGCCAGCUGGUCUCCUCCAACCUCUUGCCAUUCUAGAAUGGAAGUUUGACCACAUUGAGAUGGACUUCGUGACUGGGUUUCCAAAGUCCAAGCGUGGCAAUGAUGCUAUAUUCGUUGUCAUCGACAAACUCACUAAAGUGGCUCACUUUCUACCUAUCAAAGAGUCAAUCACUGCAGCUCAACUGGCAGAACUCUAUACCUCUCGAAUUGUCUCUCUGCACGGUAUUCCACAAGUGAUCUCUUCAGACCGUGGCAGCAUCUUUACCUCCAAGUUUUGGGAAUCUUUCCAGAAGGCCAUGGGCACCAACAUCCGCUUCAGCACACCUUUCUAUCCGCAAACUAGCGGUCAAGUCGAGCGUGUCAAUCAGAUUCUUGAAGAUAUGCUCAGGGCUUGUGUGAUCUCCUUCGGCAUGAAGUGGGAGGAUUGUCUUCCUUAUGCUGAAUUCUCAUACAACAACAGUUUUCAAGCAAGUUCGGGCAAGGCCCCAUUUGAAAUUCUGUAUGGCAGGAAGUGCCGUACCCCUCUCAACUGGUCUGAAACCGGUGAACGUCAACUUCUGGGAAAUGACUUAAUCACAGAGGCAGAGGAAAUGUGCAAAGUCAUUCGAGAUAACCUCAAAGCAGCCCAAUCCCACCAGAAGAGCUACUAUAAUAGUAAGCACCGUGAUUUGGCUUUCGAGAUCGGAGAUCAUGUUUACCUCCGCGUCUCUCCUAUGAAAGGUACUCGUCGCUUCGGUAUCAAAGGGAAGCUUGCCCCUAGAUACGUGGGACCUUUCAAGAUUGUCAGCAAGAGAGGCGAUCUCGCCUAUCAACUCGAGCUUCCUUCAAACUUUGCAAAUGUGCAUGACGUGUUCCAUGUCUCUCAGCUUCGAAAGUGCUUCAAGACUCCCGACCGCACCAUCAACUUCGAGGGAAUUGAGCUCCAAGAAGAUCUCUCUUAUCGUGAGCACCCCGUUGCUAUUCUUGAAGAGACUGAACGCAAGACUCGCAAUAAGUCAAUCAAAUUCCUCAAAGUCAAGUGGUCACACCAUUCCGACCGUGAAGCUACCUGGGAACGCGAGGAUCACCUCCGUUCUGAAUACCCGGCGUUCUUUCAGUCCUAGAUCUCGGGACGAGAUCCUUUCGUAGUGGUGGAGUGUUGUAACACCCCGGAUAUGAUUACCCAAUAUGUAAUCCAACUCUUGCCGUUUCCAGCGUUAAGUUAUUUUAUUUUCUCGGGUUCGGGUUUUUGUCUCCGUGUGUUGUUAUCGUUGUCAUGCAUCUCAUAUCAUAUCAUCACGUGCAUUGCAUUUGCAUACAUGUUUAUUUCAUGCAUUCGAGCAUUUUCCCCGUUGUCCGUUUUGCAUUCCGGCGCUUCGUUCUCCUCCGGUGGUCAUUUCUACCUUUCUUUCGUGUGUGGGGUUUAAACAUUUCCGGAUUGGACCGAGACUUGCCAAGAGGCCUUGGUUUACUACCGGUAGACCGCCUGUCAAGUUCGUACCAUUUGGACUUCGUUUGAUGCUCCAACAGUUAACCGAGGGACCGAAAAGGCCUCGUGUGUGUUGCAGCCCAACACCCCUCCAAGUUGGACCAAAACUCACCAAAACCCUCUCCAUCAUCUAGAGCGUUCGAUCACGAUCGCGUGGCCGAAAACCGCACCUUAUUUGGACUCUCCUAGCUCCCUCUAUGCCUAUAUAUACACCUCCCCCUCCAAAAAUUCGCGGUGCAAACCUACCCUAACUCUCCCCGCCGCCGCCGGACAUCUUCGCCACCGACGGACACGUCCGGAUCCGCCGGCCCGCGCCAAUCAACGUCCGCCAUGUGGCGCCGCGCCCACAUCGCCUGUCCCCGCCGCCGCGCGGCCCGGGAGCCCGGAGCCGGCCCCCGCGGCCCGCUCCCUCGCGCCGCCCGCCCGCGCGUCUCUUCGCCCGUGCCGGCGAAGCCUCAAGCUCCGGCCGCCGCCCGCCAUCGCCGCCGUUGAUGCCGACCCGUCGGACCGCGCCACCGCGCCUACUCGUCCCCGGCUAAGCCGCGCCGCUCGCCGCCCGAGCUGCCCGCCAUCACCGCCGCCUCGCCCUCGACUCCACCGCCCGGAUCCGGUGUCUUCUCUCUCCGGCGACCGCGGCAAGUCCGGCCACCGCGUCGUCCAUUUUCGGCGAACCUCGAGACUCAUGCUGCUACAGUGCCCAGAUCUAGAUCCGGUUGAUUUUUUUGCCCAAAACCUUAAUUAUUUGGCAUUGUUCAUCGCAUCGUAACUCCGCAUCCGUAGCUCCGUUUUAGGCAUAUAGCAUAUCAAAAUGUUCGUCUCAGAGAGCACAUCAUUUCAUGCCAUUACAUCGUUUUAAUUUGAGUUCAUCUUGAUGCCCAAAAUGCUGUUAGAAGAGAGAUAUUUAAGACAAUUGUCAGAUCUGCUACUCCAAUUAGAUAUUUGUCAUUUUUGCCAUGAUUAUUGUGUGCAUGAUAUGCCCCUGAGCUCUUCAUGAGUUUUGUUAUAUGUUUUGCCAUCUAUCCAGAGGUGCAAUCCAUGUAUUUUAGUGAUGUGUGUGGUGACUAGCACAAGCUUGCAAAGUGGAGCAUUCGUUAAUGCUGGUUUCAGGGACUUAGCAUUUCCACCAAGUCCUUGAGCUGUUUAUCUCAAUAUGCCAUAUGUUCAUGUUGUUUCCUAGUGAUCCGUGCCUCUUUUGAGGAUGAUCAGUAAGGAUGUUUUGUUAAUCUUGUAGUGCUCUAUCCAUCCAUGUCUUUGUUUGCAAUUAUGGAGCAUCCUAGCUUGAGUCAAUCGAGCUCUACUUUUGUCAUUUCGUGAAUCUGGGCAGAUUGUCUACUUGUUAGCGAUUUUGCUGAGGAUGUUGUAGUUGAUCCGUGCAUGCUAUGUUAUUGUUCUUGCCAUGUCUAGCUUGUAUUUUGUGUAUUCUUGAUGGGUGUAUGCUUAGUUUGUCAUGACUUGCUCUGUAGUGAGUGCAUCGAGCUCGUAAACAUGCCUACUUGAUAUCUGUUUUAGCAUGCUCCAGUUUUCACUAAGUCUGAGAACUGAUUAUGUUUUUGCCAUGUUGACAUGCUUGCAAAUGUAUUUUAUGAUCCCUUUUGGCUCAAGACCACUAAGGGACUUUUGUUAAGCUCUUUGAGUAGCUCCAUGCCAUGCUUUAUUUUGCCAUGUUCAGGUCCUGUAGCAUAUAAUUUUCAUGCUCCAAAGAGUGCUAUCUGAUCUGAAAUUCUAGACAAGUGUUAAUUUCACCAAGUCUGAAAUCUGUUUGCCAAAUGCAUUUUUGCGAUGCUUCUUUGAACCUGUUAAUGGAUGAAUUGGCCGUAGCUCAGUGUUCCUCUUUUGUUAAGCAUCAUGAAUGGAUCCCUGCCAUGUAUUUUGAUGCCAUGUUUGGGUGCUGUAGCAUGUUCAUCUUGUUGCAUUUAGAUGGCUACUUGCUGUAAAUCACAGAACGUGGUCAUAUUUGAAUUGAUUGCCAUUUCCAAACCGUAAAUCUGAUUCCGGCGUUCUUUAUAUCGUUUUCAAGCGAUUUCAUCUCACCUUUCCAGUGGCACACUUGGAUUUCCAAGUUGAGGCCAGGUUCAUGCAUUCCUUGUCAAAUCGUGCAUAUGCAUAGCAUAUCGCAUCCCGCAUAGCAUACCAUCUUGCAUCAUAUUGUUUGAGCUUUGCACGUGGUUGAUUGCCUUCCGUUUGCUUGUUUGUCUUGAUUGGGUAGAGCCGGGAGAUGAGUUCGCUAACGAGGAGCCCGUUGAGUUUGCUUUCAAGGAUCCAGUCAACUCUGACAACUUUGCAGGCAAGAUGAUCAUACCCUCGAAAUCACUACUAUCUUUGCUUUGCUAGAUGCUCGCUCUUUUGCUAUGCCUAUGCUACGAUGCCUACCACUUGCUUAUCAUACCUCCCAAAUUGCCAUGUCAAACCUCUAAACCACCAUGUCCUAGCAAACCGUUGAUUGGCUAUGUUACCGCUUUGCUCAUCCCCUCUUAUAGCGUUGCCAGUUGCAUGUGAAGAUUGGAGACCGUUCCUUGUUGGAACAUUAUUUACUUGUUGGGAUAUCAUUAUAUUGCCUUGUUAUCUUAAUGCAUCUAUAUACUUGGUAAAGGGUGGAAGGCUCGGCCUCUCGCCUAGUGUUUUGUUCCACUCUUGCCGCCCUAGUUUCCGUCAUAUCGGUGUUAUGUUCCCGGAUUUUUGCGUUCCUUAUGCGGUUGGGUGAUAAUGGGAACCCCGUGAUAGUUCACCUUGAUUAAAGCUUUUCCAGCAAUGCCCAACCUUGGUUUUACCAUUUGCCACCUAGCCUCUUUUUCCCUUGGGUUUCCGGAGCCCGAGGAUCAUCUUAUUUUAAACCCCCCCUGGCCAGUGCUCCUUUGAGUGUUGGUCCACCUCGUCAGCCGCCGGUGGCCACCAGGGGCAACUCUGGGCUGGCCUACCGGAAGUUUAGACAAUCUGAGUGAGCCCUGAGAACGAGAUAUGUGCAGCUCCUAUCGGGAUUUGUCGGCACAUUCGGGCGGUGUUGCUGGAUUGGUUUUAACUUGUCAAAGUGUCUUGUAGAACCGGGAUACCGAGUCUGAUCGGAAUGUCUCGGGAGGAGGUCUAUUCUUUGUUGACCGUGAGAGCUUGUCAUGGGCUAAGUUGGGACUCCCCUGCAGGUAUUUUGAUGCCAUGGUUGGGUGCUGUAGCAUGUUCAUCUUGUUGCAUUUAGAUGGCUACUUGCUGUAAAUCGCAGAACAUGGUCAUAUUUGAAUUGCUUGCCAUUUCCAAACCGUAACUCCGAUUCCGGCGUUCUUUAUAUCGUUUUCAAGCGAUUUCAUCUCACCUUUCCAGUGGCAGACUUGGAUUUCAAAGUUGAGGCCAGGUUCAUGCAUUCCUUGUCAAAUCUUGCAUAUGCAUCGCAUAUCGCAUCCCGCAUAGCAUACCAUCUUUGUGUCAUAUUGUUUGAGCUUUGCACAUGGUUGAUUGCGUUCCGUUUGCUUGUUUGUCUUGAUUGGGUAGAGCCGGGAGACGAGUUCGCUAACGAGGAGCCCAUUGAGUUUGCUUUCGAGGAUCCAGUCAACUCUGACAACUUUGCAGCCAAGAUGAUCAUACCUUCGAAAUCACUACUAUCUUUGCUUUGCUAGAUGCUCACUCUUUUGCUAUGCCUAUGCUACGAUGCCUACCACUUGCUUAUCAUGCCUCCCAAAUUGCCAUGUCAAACCUCUAACCCACCAUGUCCUAGCAAACCGUUGAUUGGCUAUGUUACCGCUUUGCUCAGCCCCUCUUAUAGCGUUGCUAGUUGCAGGUGAAGAUUGGAGACCGUUCCUUGUUGGAACAUUAUUUACUUGUUGGGAUAUCAUUAUAUUGCCUUGUUAUCUUAAUGCAUCUAUAUACUUGGUAAAGGGUGGAAGGCUCGGCCUCUCGCCUAGUGUUUUGUUCCACUCUUGCCGCCCUAGUUUCCGUCAUAUUGGUGUUAUGUACCCGGAUUUUUGCGUUCCUUACGUGGUUGGGUGAUAAAGGGAACCCCGUGAUAGUUCGCCUUGAUUAAAGCUUUUCCAGCAAUGCCCAACCUUGGUUUUACCAUUUGCCACCUAGCCUCUUUUUCCCUUGGGUUUCCGGAGCCCGAGGGUCAUCCUAUUUUAAACCCCCCCAGGCCAGUGCUCCUCUAAGUGUUGGUCCACCUCGUCAGCCGCUGGUGUCCACCAGGGGCAACUCUGGGCUGGCCUACCGGAAGUCUAGAUAAUCUGAGUGUGCCCUGAGAACGAGAUAUGUGCAGCUCCUAUCAGGAUUUGUCGGCACAUUUGGGCGGUGUUGCUGGAUUGGUUUUAACUUGUCAAAGUGUCUUGUAGAACCGGGAUACCGAGUCUGAUCGGAAUGUCUCGGGAUGAGGUCUAUUCCUUCGUUGACCAUGAGAGCUUGUCAUGGGCUAAGUUGGGACUCCCCUGCAGGGAUUUGAACUUUCGAAAGCCGUCCCGCGGUUAUGGGCAGAUGGGAAUUUGUUAAUGUACGGUUGUAGAUAACUUGAACCUUAACUUAAUUAAAAUGAAUCAACUGUGUGAGUUACCGUGAUGGUCUCUUCUCGGCGGAGUCCAGGAAGUGAACACGGUGUUGGAGUAAUGCUUGCCGCAGGAUGCCCCCUAGUUAUUCGUUCGCGCUUUGCCUUCUCUUCUCGCUCUCUUUUGCGAACAGGUUAGCCACCAUAUAUGCUAGUCGCUUGCUGCAGCUCCACAUAAUUACCUUGCUUUACCUAUAAGCUUAAAUAGUCUUGAUCGCGAGGGUGCGGGAUUGCUGAGUCCCUGUGGCUCACAGAUUACUUCCAAACCAGAUGCAGGGCCUGAUGAUUCCGUUCCAGAUGACGCACUUGAGCUCAAGUGGGAGUUCGACGAGGACUCACGUCGUUACUAUGUGUCUUUCCCUGAUGAUCAGUAGUGGUGCCCAGUUGGGGGUGAUCGGGACCGUGUCGCAUGUUGGGUUUAUCUUUUAUUUUGGCGCCGUAGUCGGGCCAUGAGUGUUUGAUUGUUGUAAUGCUAUUUAUGUACUUUGUUUGACGUGGCGAGUGUAAGCCAACUAUGUAUCUCCCCUUUUAUUAUCUAUAUUACAUGGGAUGUUGUGAAGAUUGCCUAACUUGCGACAUUGCUUUCAAUGCGGUUAUGCCUCUAAGUCGUGCCUCAACACGUGGGAGAUAUAGCCGCAUCGAGGGCGUGACAUGGGCUUAAGCUAGUCUAGGUUGUUUAUGUUUACACUAGUUGAAGUGCCUUAGAUGUGGGAUCUUGUUCGUAUCCCGUGUGAUAUUGGUCGGACUUUCGGUCCUUUGUUGUUGGUGGUGAUACGUUGUACUGCUCUUGGACCUGUGUUUUCUUUUCUUCCCUAUCUUUAAUAUGCUACAUGUAGUCCCCAUGUAUGGUUCAAAAAAUCAUUUAGAGAGAGAGAGAGAGAACGGUUGAGCAAAUUGUAUUGAUAAGCCAUGAUUAGCAUGAUUGGUAAGAAAUAUAGCAUGUGGAUAUUAUGCAGCAGAUCAUCGGGGUGCAAAAAGAAACAUGUAAUAAGAUAGCUUCAGUCUCUACUGUUGUAAUCAGUGUAAAUUAUAUCGCCUUGGUGCUGUUUCUUGGGAGAUAAAAACUACAUAGAGUACCAAAAUAUGCAAAAGUCAAAUAUCGGUUAAACUGACAAAUAUUGAAUGGAUGCCUUGGUGUUGUUUCCUCGAAGGAAACAACUAUAGUAAACAGCAUAGUAUAAAAAAAGAAAUUUAAAAUGUUAGUUGAACUAACAUAUAUUCAAUAAGCAUUCAGAUACGGUUUAAUUAAACAUCAACCAAAUUGUAAAAAUCCAUUUUUCUGUCAUAAAUGGAAUAGAAAUAAAAAAUAUCAGGUAGAGUAAACUGAUAAAUUACUCUUUAGCACCUGAUAUUCCAUAAGAUACAGAUCUAUUUGUGUACUGUGUCUAUCAGAAAUUUAUCAUUUAGAUGCUCAGCGAUGGCAGCUCCAUGCGGAUCUUAUUGGGUGUCAGCGUCAACUUUCAGCAAUAGUAUCUAGCCCGGUGAAGUUCAUAAAUUGAACCGUAGAAUUUAGAUAUCUGCGGUGAAUAGAAUUAUAAUCAGCAGGAAACACUUUUUGAUAGUCUGUCUUCUAACAAAAAAUUGAUAUACACCAUGAUUAUUUGGUUGUGCGAUGCAAACAGUAAACAUGAAUUAAAAUAGUGAGACUUGAUUGAUACCUGAUGAAAUGUUAUUUUCAAUCUCCAAAGACGAUUGUGCAUCCUAUCAUGUUAGAAAACAAUGUUUUCACCUGAUUGAACUCACCGCCAAUUUAAUUUUCUAAAUUUGGUCUUUAGAACUAUGAAAAAAAGAUGGAAAUUGCAAAUUGUCGUUUCAAUCCAACAUUACCUUCUGAAGCUUAAGAAAAGGCUAUUCGCAACACAGUCCGGUGAAAUGUAUUCGUAAAAAUAUCUUGGAACUACCUACUAUGACUCAUGUUAUUUAGUGUGCUUGUUACAGUGCCUGUUUCUUUAGCUAGCUGAUGAAUGAUUUUCCCAUUAUAGGAAUUUUUUUGAAAAUGCUUCACGUGACUUAAAAGUAAUGCUUGAUGCAGUUUUUUUAUUUUAUGAAUCGUUUGCACCGUCCAUGACAAUAACUGAAACUAAAGCCUAAAAGACUAAUUAUACACGCUGGAAACUGAAUCAUGUAUUCAUGUUGAAUGCUCAGCCCUCCAUACGGAAUUAUCUAUCGGUAAGAAUAGGAUAUGACGGUCUGUUUUCUCUACCACAUCAGAAUGUAUACCCUAAAGUAAUUGUUAUCAACAAUCAGCUAUAUCAGCUGCCCAUGAAUCAUGAUUUUCCCAGUGCAUACUAUAUAUGUGAUGACGACCAUUUUUCUACUGUAUAAAAGUUGAAUGAUGAUCGUAAGGUUAGUUUAGCCUAGAUUACCUACAUAUCCAAUGCACUUAGCACAAAUCUGGCUUAAAAAAUUGCAAAAAUAGCAUUAACAUUUUGGAUAGGCGGUACUAUUAGAGAUAUAUUAUAUGGAUAAUUUUUUUUGCAGUGCUGAAAAUUUAGGAUAUAUUGUAUGGACUCUCUCUACUUCUAGUUCUCUUCUUCUAAUACAUCUUGCGCGUUUGCAAAAAAAUAAUUAGGAUAGACCUUUGCCAAAAAAAGCAGCCUAAUAUAACCUGAAACUUGGCAGCCUUAUUCAACAAAUUUGGCUCGGUAGCUGUAACGCCCUCGAUGCGGCUAUAGCUCCCACGUGUCGAGGCACAACUUAGAGGCAUAACCGCAUUGAAAGCAAUGUCGCAAGUUAGGCAAUCUUCACAACAUCCCAUGUAAUAUAGAUAAUAAAAGGGGAGAUACAUAGUUGGCUUACACUCGCCACGUCAAACAAAGUACAUAAAUAGCAUUACAACAAUCAAACACUCAUGGCCCGACUACGGCGCCAAAAUAAAAGAUAAACCCAACAUGCGACACGGUCCCGAUCACCCCCAACAGGGCACCACUACUGAUCAUUAGGGAAAGACACAUAGUAACGGCGUGAGUCCUCGUCGAACUCCCACUUGAGCUCAAGCGCGUCAUCUGGAACGGAAUCAUCAGGCCCUGCAUCUGGUUUGGAAGUAAUCUGUGAGCCACAGGGACUCAGCAAUCUCGCACCCUCGCGAUCAAGACUAUUUAAGCUUAUAGGUAAGGCAAGGUAAUUAUGUGGAGCUGCAACAAGCGACUAGCAUAUAUGGUGGCUAACCUGUUCGCAAAAGAGAGCGAGAAGAAAAGGCAAAGCACGAACGAAUAACUAGGGGGCAUCCUGCGGCAAGCAUUACUCCAACACCGUGUUCACUUCCCGGACUCCGCCGAGAAGAGACCAUCACGGUAACUCACACAGUUGAUUCAUUUUAAUUAAGUUAAGGUUCAAGUUAUCUACAACCGGACAUUAACAAAUUCUCAUCUGCCCAUAACCGCGGGACGGCUUUCGAAAGUUCAAAUCCCUGCAGGGGAGUCCCAACUUAGCCCAUGACAAGCUCUCACGGUCAACGAAGGAAUAGACCUCCUCCCGAGGCAUUCCGAUCAGACUCGGUAUCCCGGUUCUACAAGACACUUUGACAAGUUAAAACCAAUCCAGCAACACCGCCCGAAUGUGCCGACAAAUCCCGAUAGGAGCUGCACAUAUCUCGUUCUCAGGGCACACUCAGAUUUUCUAAACUUCCGGUAGGCCAGCCCAGAGUUGCCCCUGGUGGCCACCGGCGGCUGACGAGGUGGACCAACACUCAGAGGAGCACUGGCCCAGGGGGGUUUAAAAUAAGAUGACCCUCGGGCUCCGGAAACCCAAGGGAAAAAGAGGCUAGGUGGCAAAUGGUAAAACCAAGGUUGGGCAUUGCUGGAAAAGCUUUAAUCAAGGCGAACUAUCAAGGGAUUCCCAUUAUCACCCAACCGCGUAAGGAACGCAAAAAUCAGGGAACAUAACACCGAUAUGACGGAAACUAGGGCGGCAAGAGUGGAACAAAACACUAGGCGAGAGGCUGGGCCUUCCACUCUUUACUAAGUAUAUAGAUGCAUUAAGAUAACAAGGCAAUAUAAUGAUAUCCCAACAAGUAAAUAAUGUUCCAACAAGGAACGGUCUCCAAUCUUCACCUGCAACUGGCAACGCUAUAAGAGAGGCUGAGCAAAGCGGUAACAUAGCCAAUCAAUGGUUUGCUAGGACAUGGUGGGUUAGAGGUUUGACAUAGAAAUUUGGGAGGCAUGAUAAGCAAGUGGUAGGCAUCGUAUCAUAGGCAUAGCAAAAGAGCGAGCAUGUAGCAAAGCAAAGAUAGUAGUGACUUCGAGGGUAUGAUCAUCUUGCCUGCAAAGUUGUCAGAGUUGACUGGAUCCUCGAAAGCAAACUCAACGGGCUCCUCGUUAGCGAAAUCGUCUCCCGGCUCUACCCAAUCAAGACAAACAAGCAAACGGAACGCAAUCAACCACGUGCAAAGCUCAAACAAUAUGAUGCAAAGAUGGUAUGCUAUGCGGGAUGCGAUAUGCGAUGUAUAUGCAAGAUUUGACAAGGAAUGCAUGAACUUGGCCUCAACAUGGAAAUCCAGGUGUGCCACUGGAAAGGUGAGAUGAAAUCGCUUGAAAAUGAUAUAAGGAACGCCGGAAUCGGAGUUACGGUUUGGAAUUGGCAAGCGAUUCAAAUAUGACCACGUUCUGCGAUUUACAGCAAGUAGCCAUCUAAAUGCAACAAGAUGAACAUGCUACAGCACCCAAACAUGGCAUCAAAAUACAUGGCAGGGAUCCAUUCAUGAUGCUUAACAAAAGAGGAACACUGAGCUACGGCCAAUUCAUCCAUUAACAGGUUGAAACAAGCAUGGCAAAAAUGCAUUUGGCAAACAGAUUUCAGACUUGGUGAAAUUAACACUUGUCUGGAAUUUCAGAUCAGAUGGCAAAAAUGCAUCAAGAUGAACUCAAAUGAAAAUGAUGCAAUGGCAUGAAAUGAUGUGCUCUCUGAUACGAACAUUUUGAUAUGCUAUAUGCCCAAAACGGAGCUGCGGAUGCGGAGUUACGAUGCGAUGAACAAUGCCAAAUAAUUAGGGUUUCAGGCAAAAAAUCAACCGGAUCUAGAUCUGGGCACUGUAGCAGCACGAGUCUCGAGGUUCACCGGAAAUGGACGACGCGGUGGCCGGACUUGACGCGGUCGCCGGAGAGAGAAGACGCCGGAUCUGGGCGGUGGAGUCGAGGGCGAGGCGGCGGUGAUGGCGGGCGGCUCGGGCGGCGAGCGGCACGGCUCGGCCGGGGACGNNNNNNNNNNNNNNNNNNNNNNNNNNNNNNNNNNNNNNNNNNNNNNNNNNNNNNNNNNNNNNNNNNNNNNNNNNNNNNNNNNNNNNNNNNNNNNNNNNNNNNNNNNNNNNNNNNNNNNNNNNNNNNNNNNNNNNNNNNNNNNNNNNNNNNNNNNNNNNNNNNNNNNNNNNNNNNNNNNNNNNNNNNNNNNNNNNNNNNNNNNNNNNNNNNNNNNNNNNNNNNNNNNNNNNNNNNNNNNNNNNNNNNNNNNNNNNNNNNNNNNNNNNNNNNNNNNNNNNNNNNNNNNNNNNNNNNNNNNNNNNNNNNNNNNNNNNNNNNNNNNNNNNNNNNNNNNNNNNNNNNNNNNNNNNNNNNNNNNNNNNNNNNNNNNNNNNNNNNNNGCUUGAGGGCUUCGCCAGCGCGGGCGAAGAGACGCGUGGGCGGGCGGCGCGAGGGAGCGGGCCGCGGGGGCCGGCUCCGGGCUCCUGGGCCGCGCGGCGGCGGGGACAGGUGAUGUGGGCGCGGCGCCACAUGGCGGACGUUGAUUGGCGCGGGCCAGCGGAUCUGGACGUGUCCGUCGGUGGCGAAGAUGUCCGGCGGCGGCGCGGAGAGUUAGGGUAGGUUUGCACCGCGAAUUUUUGGAGGGGGAGGUGUAUAUAUAGGCGAGCUAGGAGAGUCCAAAUAAGGUGCGGUUUUCGGCCACGCGAUCGUGAUCGAACGCUCUAGAUGAUGGAGAGGGUUUUGGUGGGUUUUGGUCCAACUUGGAGGGGUGUUGGGCUGCAACACACACAAGGCCUUUUCGGUCCCUCGGUUAACCGUUGGAGCAUCAAACGAAGUCCAAAUGGUACGAAACUUGACAGGCGGUCUACCGGUAGUAAACCAAGGCCGCUUGGCAAGUUUCGGUCCAAUCCGGAAAUGUUUAAACCCCACACACGAAAGAAAGGUAGAAAUGACCACCGGAGGAGAACGAAGCGCCAGAAUGCAAAAUGGACAACGGGGAAUAUGCUCGAAUGCAUGAGAUGAACAUGUAUGCAAAUGCAAUGCACAUGAUGAUAUGAUAUGAGAUGCAUGACAAUGAUAACAACACACGGAGACAAUAACCCGAACCCGAGAAAAUAAAAUAACUUAACGUCGGAAACGGCAAGAGUUGGAUUACAUAUUGGGUAAUCAUAUCCGGGGUGUUACAGUAGCCUCGCUCGCUGUAGACAUUACAUCAAACAUGGAUGGAUCAAGAUUGGAGCUGGGCAGAAGAAAGGGCCACUUUGCAUAGAUUAGUGUCUUACUGGAAGGAGUACUUUUGGAUCACCGCCUCAUGCCGAAGCUCCUCUAACCCCUCGGCCGCCAGCCAUGUGUGCCGCUCCAGGCAAGGCACGCUACAGGCCAGCAGACGCUUGGCAAAGCGUUGGCAUCGCACGCACAUAGGCGCGGACACAUGCAUGACUCCAACGUUCCUGCUGCCCAUGAUGAUGAGAGGCGCGAGGUGGCGAGGCAGAGGGUGCUUGGACUUCUUUCGGACGGCCAGGCCAGGGUUGUGAAUUGGGUUGGAAGCGUUGAACCCUUUGUCUCGGGCCGCAUGUUUAUAUAUAAUGGCAAUGCCUUGGAGUACAAGAAGAGAUCAAGAGAUCGAUCUCAGGUUGGUUUGGUUCGGUACAGGAGGGAGAAGAAGAAAGGAGAUAGAGAUAGAGAUAGAUUACAAUUUGAAUGAAACUAUCCUAUACAUAUUCUAACACCCCCCCCCCCUCAAUCUAAACCUCAUGAACUUUGACCAAGGUUGAGAUUGUACUUGAACUCAUCUAACCUCCUCAUAGUGAGAGGCUUUGUGAAUCCAUCAGCAAGUUGAUCUCCAGUAGGAAUGAACUGAAUUUCAAGGAGCUUUCUAGCUACUCUUUCUCUGACAAAGUGGAAAUCAACUUCAAUAUGCUUUGUGCGUGCAUGAAAAACAGGAUUAGCUGACAGAUAGGUUGCACCAAUAUUAUCACACCAUAAUCUGGUUGCUUUUGGAGUCUUAAUUCCAAGUUCAUAAAGCAAUGUCUGUAUCCACAUUACUUCAGCUGUGGCAUUUGCCAAAGCUUUGUAUUCAGCCUCAGUACUUGAUCUAGAGACUGUAGCCUGCUUUCUUGCACUCCAUGACACAAGAUUGGAUCCCAGAAAUACAACAAAUCCACCAAUUGACCUUCUAUCAUCAAUACAUCCUGCCCAGUCUGCAUCAGAGUAGGCAGUAACAAGCAUAGAAGAAGACUUGAUAAUUUGAAGUCCAAGUCCUUCUGAAAACUACUCUCCUGAGUAUGUCAGCUGUGAUAGGUGUAUUCAACAGAGAGUUUUUCAGAAGUUGAGAUAGGUGUACUCACAGGUUUACAUUUUUCCAAACCUACUCUCCUGAGUAUGUCAGCUGUGUAUUUUCCCUGUGUCAGAAGUAUACCAUCUCUUAUCUGUUUGACCUCAAUACCAAGAAAAUAAUGAAGAUCUCCCAAGUCCUUGAGGGCAAAUUCUAACUUAAGAUCCUUAAGAAAACAAGUGGUGGCACUUGAACUCGAGCUAGCAACAAUAAUAUCAUCAACAUAAACCAGCACAAAAAUAGUGACAUUUCCUUUAUUGUAAAAGAACAAGGAUGUGUCUGCUUUGGAUGGUACAAAUCCAAGUUGUUGUAGUUGCAUGCUCAAUCGUGAAUACCAAGCUCUUGACGCCUGUUUUAAACCAUAUAGAGCUUUAUCCAACUUACAAACAUAGUGUGGUGUACCUUUGUUUUCAUAACCUGGUGGCUGCCACAUGAACACCUCUUCCUCAAGAACACCAUGAAGAAACGCGUUCUGAACAUCUAGCUGUCUUAAGCUCCAACCUUUGAAAACAACAAUAGACAAGACAAGUUGAAUGGUGGCUGAUUUAACAACUGGACUAAAAGUAUCCUCAUAGUCAAUCCCAAACCUUUGCUUAAAGCCUUUAGCAACUAAUCUAGCCUUGUACCUGUCUAUACUUCCAUCUGACUUCCUGUUUAUCUUGUACACCCAUUUACAAUCAAUAACAUUCAUUCCACUUUUUGAUGGUACUAGGUGCCAUGUUUUAUUUUUCAUAAGUGCAUCAUACUCACUAUCCAUGGCCUCUUUCCAAUCUUUGUGAGCAAGGGCAUCAACUAGAUUAACUGGUUCACCAAUAGUAGUGAGAAAAGCACGUUUUUAUCAUACCUAAUGGUGCCAUCUUUGUAUUCCUUUUCCUUAGUAAUACCUGAUUGUGACCGUGUGUGACGUCGAGGAAUAAUUUGUGCAGCAGAAGAGGCGUCCAUAGAAGAUCCAGCAUCCUGCACACGCCCAACAGCCGCGGGAUCACGCGCCAGAUCCUCUGCAGACAGGAUCGGCCUCAGGAUCGUUCCACCAGCAGAAACGGGCCGCAUGUCGCGUGAGGACUCCACACGGGUGGACGUGCGCAUCGGGGCCCGUGGGCUGGACCCAACCGCGCUCGCCCGGUCGGGCGGCUGGUCGGCCACCCCCGCGGACCAUGGGCUCGUGGCAAGCGGGGAUUCGCCCCAGGUCCCGUCUGUGCUGGUGGGCUCCGCGCGGUCGCUAUCGGCCACCGAGUCAUGCACCGUCUCCGCAUGCAGGUGGGCAGGAUCCUCCUCGGAUCAUGCGCUAAUGAUUGCGCUGACGCUGGCGCCAGGAUUCGCUUGGGAUCGCGUGCUAGAUCGCCUGCUGCCGCCAAAAUCCUCCUCAUGAUCAGCAACGCCUAUAUUGUCUGUUUCUGGACACAUAAAAUCAUGAGCUGCAUUUGUACAAACAUCAUUAGAGCUUCAAUUUUCUGCGGAUUUGUUCACAUGGUCAGCUUCAGAUAAUUCACCCCCGUGAUCAGAUAGUGUGUCAAGAUCCGGAAGAAGUGCUAUUUCGGCACGGAGAAGAGCGCCUGUGUUGGGAUGAAGCUUGGCAAACCGAAAGAGAGUUUCAUCAAAAAUUACAUCUCGAGAAAUAUAUAUACGUCCGGUGAAAAUUUCUAGGCACUUGUAUCCCUUGUGUAGAUUACUAUAGCCUAGAAAAACACAUUGAGUGGAACGGAAUUAAAGUUUGUGAUGAUUAUACGGACGUAAGUUGGGGUAGCAAGCACACCCAAAAGUUUUAAGGGAGUUGUAGUCUGGUUUUUGAUGGUAUAGAAGUUCCAAAGGAGUGGAAUUGCCAAUAACUUUACUUGGAAGACGAUUAAUGAGAUAUGUUGCUAUAAUAAAUGCUUCAUCCCAAUAUUUUAGAGGCAUAGACGCAUGAGCAAGUAGGGAGAGUCCAACUUCAACAAUGUGACGGUGUUUGCGCUCGGCAGAACCGUUCUGUUGAUGAGCAUGAGGACAAGACACAUGGUGCUGAAUCCCUAUGCUACGGAAGAAAGAGUUGAGUUUUUCAUACUCCCCUCCCCAGUCACUUUGGACUGUUAGAAUUUUUCUGUUAAAGUAUCUUUCAACCAGUUUCUGAAAUUCUUGGAAGACAGAGAAAACCUCAGAUUUAUAUUUGAGUAAAUAAAUCCAAGUGAACUUGCUAUAAUCAUCAAUAAAACUAACAUCCAAAGGAAUCUCUUGCAUGACCCCAUACAUCACUGAAAAUAAGCUCUAAAGGAGCAUGAGACACACUAUUUGACUUGGGAUAAGGAAGUUGGUGGCUCUUGGCACACUGACAAGCUUCACAAACUGACUCACUAUUUUUACUCUGUGACAAAGAAAGUUUGUCUCUAUUGACUACUUGCUUAACUAUGAUUGAUGAUGGGUGUCCUAAUCUUUGAUGCCACCUUCCCAAGGAGGGUUUAGUGGUAGAAUAAACUUAACGCUGAUUGCGACUGAGUGCUCCAGAUGUGAUGGGGUAGAGCCCUCCAACGCAUCUACCGUGAUGAAGAAGUUCCCUCGUUGCCUGGUCCUUUAUAAAAAAGUAACGAGGGUGAGUUUCAAAGAAGACGCUAUUGUCAGUGGCUAGACGAGACAUGGAUGCAAGAUUUUUAUCAGCUUGUGGGACAUGAAGAACGUCUUUAAGAACUAGAUCACGUUUAAGGUUGGGGGAAUUAAUGUAAGCUUGUCCAAUGUGACAAAUAUCCAUACCUCCACCACUUGCCGCAAUGUGAAUCUGGUCGCCACCAUGGUAUCUCUCACGAAGUGCAAGUUGCUCCAACUCGCUGGUGACAUGAUCUGUUGCACCCGAGUCCAUGUACCAGACGCCAUCUCCUCCUCCUUCUUCAUGGAUGGCAGCAACAACAUGACAAGCGUCGGGGACGAAGUCUUCAUCAUACCUGUGCCAACAGUCCAUGACCUCAUGGCCUGACUUUUUGCACAGCCGACAACGAGGGCGGCGAUUUGAGGAGGAGCGGCGGCGGCUGUUGUUGUUGUUGUUGAAGCCGCCACCUCCAGAGUUGUUGCCACCACUAGAACGAGCACCCUUGCCCUGGUAGUUGCCGCGCCCGCAUCCGCCACCGUUGGAGCUGCGGUUCUGUCCCUGGUGACCGCGCACACGGCCGCACCCGCGAGCCGCCGAGUUGACGAAGGACUGUCUAAUGUUGGCGCCGUGGAGGAGGGCGAGGCGAGCAUCAAAGCUCAAGAGCUGGCUGUACAGCUCCUGAACCGAGACUGGCUCAACCCUAGCAGACAGAGCGGACACGACUGGAUUGUAGUCCAGAUCGAGGCCAACCAUGAUCUUGGAGACUAUCUCUGGAUCGGGAAGAGGAACUCCGGUGCAG
rnacentral:lncRNA from 1 species